UUUUUUUUGCUUUUGAUUUUCCCCUUUUAUUCUUUUUCCUUUUCUAUUUUAUUUCUAGUUUCUUUUAUAUUUUGUUUUAUAAAAAUUACCACUAGUACCUAAAUUAGUACUUCAACUUAGUCCAUAGUCAGAAAAUGUAUAGUCCCCAAAUAACUUAGUUUGAUAUUUUAUUAAUUACAAAAGGUAUUUAAAUAAAUGUUUUGUUGUUGUUUUUAUUAUUUUGGUGCAUCUAGAUAUACUAUAACAGUGUGGUUUCUUCACCAUAAUUACAUACGCAUUAUUUGGCACAACCCAAACUUUUUAGUUUUAUUUUUCGAAAACUUUUGUUGCUUGCCUUAUUUUGAAUUUGAAUUUAGGAUCGGUUUCGAACUAACGCGAGAUUAGAAACAGUAAUCGAGGUGACGUGGCAUCAUUAGCAGAGUUUUACUGUAGCCUGAUUAUCCGGGCGUCACAAUUCUCCUCCACAACAAGAAAUCCCGUCCCGAGAUUUAGGAGGUAGAGAAGGGGGGAGGGAUUGGGUUACGAAAAAUCUAACGGAUCUUCUCGGUCUUGGUUGCUCUUCUCGAAGAGAUCGAUCCAUUAUGUUGAUGUCUUCAUUUCUCUGCUUCGGGUCACCGUGAUGAAGUCGGCAUUCUUUCUUCGAGAACUCCAUCGUACUUACGAAAGAAUUAAGGGUGGUUAUCCCGGAAGAAUGAACCUCUGCAAGGUUGACUACCUGGUAGCAAACAUCGGGGAACGUGACGGAAGUAACUCUCGAACUGAAACUUAAGAAGUUAUCAAGAGCAAAGUAAGAAGGUGCAAAAUAGAAGUUUCAAGCGCAUAGGCAAUUGUUCAUUGCCUGAAGCGAAGUGUGAAAGGGGUUCAGAGCAAUGGGAAUAAGUAUUGCGUCUGAUACCAGAUUGAUGAUCUCAUCGGAAGGUGGCUCGUGAAUUAGAUACGAGGCCAUGCGCGAGGAACAAACUUGGGAACAUGGGGUGUACAGGAGAGUCAGGUUUCGAUCCUGUGGAACUGUGGGUUAUGGGCCCACCAUGUGGUUUUUUUUAUAGGAGCAGUGACAUCUUGCACGGUCAUGAUAGCAAGGCAUGUCAGAGAAUACCCUGUCAGUUAUGUCGGCAACACGUUGGUACCAAGGGCGAGGGACGAAGAGAACCAUUUUCCUGCUCGUUGAAACGAGGCGGACCAAUAGGCAAAGUUCUCAUCCAUCGGUGGCUACCGAAAUGUCAUCAACAAAAGUAACAUGGUCUACUGAGACAGUGGUACAACGAGGUGCUCAACUAAGCAGGGAAUUAUCUCUGCUCAACUAAGUCAGAUUACAAAAAAAGGUUAAACAAAACAAUGGAAAGGAAAAUAUGAUUAUCAGAGUAAACAGAACAAUGGAAAGGAAAAUGUAUUUAAACACAUAUUUCAAGGGUAUAUCCUUCCCAAGGACAAGCAGAGCAUGAUAUCCAGGACAGGAUAUAAUGUAGAAAACUCUUUAGGUAAGGUGAGAGAAAUUUCAUGACAUUACCCAUACAACGGUGUUUGGAUAAUUGAGCGAGAAACAUUUAUCAUUGGGCUUCAAAUGUUCUUGUUGAAAAUUGGAUUACCACAGACAUGCAUCGAGAUAGCCUUGACAUGGUUAUCAGGUGAAGAUCAGACUUUAGAAACAAAAAGGGUCCAUCGGGAACCGCUUGUAGAAUAAGUCUUACAAUUUCCUCAUGGAAGAAAAGGAUAGCCUUGCUAAAAGGAAAUGGUAACAAUAGGUCCUCCGGCCAGGUGUGCUAGGCACGACAUCACCUUACCGGGUCAUAUAAAGACCAAUGUUAUAACUCUUGGAAAUAUGUUCCAACCAUCAUAUCUGACCGAGAUUUAGUUCUGAUUGGUGUCAGGAUACCUCAGACUUAGGAUGCCUGAGAAGAGAAGGUGCGGCACGAUUUGACGAGAUGACAUUGUAAGAUUCUCGGGAAAUGAACUAUGGAAGCAAGUUCCGAACAAGGGUUCAUCAUUAAAUCAAGGAGAGGUGAGGAGGUGACUGAUUGUGACAACCCAAAAUUUUGGCCUUGUUUUAUAAAUUAAAAUUUUGCCAGGAAAUUAAACUUUUCCAUUUGCCAAGAUUUACCCUUUUGAUAUUGUGGAUUUUUACCUCAAGUGGAAACUCUCCAAAAGUAUUAUUGGACUUGUAUGCUCUCUCUGAGAAACAAUUCUUAUUCAGUGGAUUUAAUUGCAAGGUUUGCCUUUUCUUGAGCUUUACUCUUUUUAAAAAUGAUUUUUCAUGAAUUUGGAGCCUGUUUUGCACUGCAACCCUUUGACAGAUGCCUUUAAAAAUUCUACCAAAAUUUGGGGAUGUCAUGUGAUGUUUCCACAUCAUUUCUAUGCAAAUAUAUCUUUUGGUUAUUGGAGAUUUUGAGCUCUACGUCAACUUUUCAAAUCUGGUCCAGUAGGCAUUUUUGCACUACCACCUAUUUAAAUAUUUCUUUAAAAAUUCUUCCAAGUGUUUGGAGAUGUCAGCAGAUGCAUACAAUUCAACUUCAUGCAAAAACCCAGUGAUGAUCUUUGAAAAAUUUGAGUGAAUCAACCUCUUUAUCAUUCUGGUCCAGUUUGGUGAUUUGUACUGCAACCCUAUUUUAUUUUGCUCUAGUGACCCUGAGCUUUUUCCUGCUUGUAGCCCUCCCUACCAAACCCUUAAGUCCAGGAGAAUGGACUCAUUGGAGGAUUUUAAGUGCAUACAAUGAGACCUUUUUCUUUCUGUCCAAAACUGUAGUUUUGCAAAACUUGCACUAACAAGUUUCUGGUUUUGCCCAAAUGAUCUUGCCAUCAUCCCCUACAACUAGAGAGACCCUGAUCUGGAGAUUUUGGCCACUCCAAGAGUUGCCUAAGUGCACUUGGCAUUCUGUCGAACACUUGGUGUGCACAGUCAGUUUUGACAUAAGUUUUAGUUUGCACUGUGAUCUUGAUCCUCUGACCCAGCAACCUUGUCCACUAAACUCCUAGCUAUCCCUAUCCUAGUCCUGUUAAUUGCCAGCCUCACCCUCGCACUCUAGGCCGCCCUGGCAUUUCGUCGAGCAUGUCCCGUGUGUGCUCUGGGCGCGCCCAGAGCGCACGUUUUGCACGCGCGCGCACCGAGCCGCCGCGUCGCACUGCCGCACUCGCCGCGUCCCGCACAUGGCCCUGGCUCGCCUACAGAACCGCGCACUACGCUCGCCCACUCUCCACGCCACCUCUGGCGCCCUACAGCGCCGCCGUCAGAGCUUUUGGCGGCACGCCGACGUCGGCAGUGAGCCUCUGCCAUGGACGGCGCCGCCCAAGCCACCCGCGCGCGCUAGCUGCCCCUGUGAACAGCUCGAGCUUAUCCCGAAGCCCGUCGACACGCGCUCGUUGCCGCCACGUCGCCCUGCAGCUACAGCACCGCGGUCGCCGGCGUUCUUAUCCUUGGCCUCCGCGGGACCGACCUCGAGCGCCUAUUUAAGGGAUCCCCGAGCUCGUUCAAGACCUCAGGCGACCUCAAGCCUUCUCCCUAGAGCUCCCCAAGCAGUGGAUUGACCGGAAGAGGCCAUCUUCCCCAACUCCGGCCGGUUCGGCCGCCGCUGCCUUCCGGUGCCAUUCGUCGCAACCAGUCACUCCCCCGCCCAUCCAGCGCCACCACUCGCUUCCCCUUGUUCUUGCGGAGCUGCCUAGCGUCUCAGCCUCGAUCGGAGACCACCGGAGCCCAAAAACCACUUCACUCUCGUAGCCCCCUCCGCCGCGGAGCUCGCCGCCGGUGAGUCCUUCCACCUCCGUCGACCCAGCGACCCCCGGGAGGACCGCCCCGGUCUGGCGGGUCCAUCCCUGCCCUCAGGUGCCCUCGUGAAGCCGCCGCUCGUCGCCGGCGAUCGCCGGAGUCCCGCUCCCGUGCGGGCAGAGAAGAGGAGGGAGAGAAGAGAAUGGUCAAACCUGACCAGUGGGCCCCCUGGACCCACUGUCAGUGACCCCGCGCCACCCACGCUGGCUUAGGUGGUCGCGUAAACCCCGGAGUACGUCUCCUAUGCUGCGAAAGCGUAUUCCCCUCCGAGACGUUUUCCUUUUCCUGGUUUUAUUUAAAAACAGAGAUUUGACCAAACUUUGACUGGCUAUAGCUUUUAAAAUAAAACUCCAAAUGAGUUGAUUCUUUUUCCUACCUCUCUCAAAUUUCCUCUAGUUUAUUUUAAGAUUUAUUUCAAAAAUAUUUGGGACAACUUUUUGUACUGUGUUUGAAAUAUUUAUUAUUUGAACAUUCUUUUUUUCAAAAUAGGAAAUGGAGAGUGAAGGAAGCUUUCAAAAAGUGCACCCUUUGCAUACUCUUGAGGCAAGCAUUCUGAACUCUGGCAUAAUUUUUUUUUGUGCGGUGUUUUGAUACGGUUACAACACCACUUGACUUGGAGCGUGCGUUAUUUUUUUAUGUGACGAUAAAAAUCUUUCGCAUGAAUGCACAAUGGAGAUUCUUUGCUGGUAGUAAUGGUCAUGCUGAUGGUAGUAGUCAUCCUCGUGAGCUUCUCAUGCGUACCGGAAGGAAGCCAGGAAAGUCGUGGUCUUGGGUAGACACGGGCUUGUCCCUAGUUCCUCGUCGAGAUGAGUAUGUCCGGUAUGGUAUGGUGAGGCUUGAUGAGUGGUGAGUUUAUCUGUUAAUGGUAAUAUUGUUGGAGAAUACUUGGACAACCUGAGUCGGUCGUGGGUCGAGUCUUGUUUAGUAGCUUCCACUACUAGUUUUGUACUACCACUUGUCCCUACCGCAAGUAGGGUAUGGUUCAGUAAGUUGUCAACCCCUUACCAAAGCACACACCGUACAGAGAGGCCAUGGUGGAAGAUACCGGGUGCAUCCGGUAGGCAUGCCACUUGGUCCGGGGGCAUGGGUGUUUCCGGUUGGGACCGAGAGGGGGGCACCCCUUAGAGCACGCGAAUAUAAAUUUGAUCCCAUGCUACGUCGAGGCUGUAGCCUCCCCACUUAGAGUUUUGCUUGGCAGGUGUCGUGGGUGAUUCCAGACACCGGUAAGUUAAGCUGGUGUGUGCAGGUCAGGCGUGUUUUCAAUUAAAAGGCCGUAGGCGGAAUUAGUCCCGAUGGGCUAAAUAACUCCGUUACUCGUGGGUAAAGAGUACACCCUCUGCAGAGGCUAUAUCCAUUCGGAUAGCCAUGUUCAUGGGUAAGGACCACAGUCUGAGAUGGGUCUAGUGACGGUUUUCGGAUGGAGUAACGGCAAAACUGGAUCAUAGUAACGGUAUUCGGAUGGAGAACGGUUUAACUAGAACACAGUGACGGUCUUCGGAUGGAGAAACGGAUAUACCAGAACUUUGUUUAUGACCUGUGACAUAUGAGGAUUAUGUUUAUUAUUACCAUGGACUAACCAUUUACAUUAUUUGAAUUAUUGAGUAUCCCUGGGACGGUUCUACCUCCUCGAUAUUCACUGUGAUUAAGUUUUUUAAGCCCUUUAUGUGGUGUCGCUCAGACGCCCGACUGCGGCAUGUUUGUUAUUUAAUUUUUCUUUAUAAGCCCUUUAUGUGGUGUCGCUCAGACGCCCGACUACAGCAUGUUUGUUAUUUAAUUUUUCUUUAUAAGCCCUUUAUGUGGUGUCGCUCAGACGCCCGACUGCGGCAUUGUUAAUUUUUUUUGCAACCUUUCGUGGAGUCAUUUCAGACACUCGGUCAGUGCAUUCUAUUUUUAAUCCCGCAUUGCAUGUUCAUAUUUUCUCUGCAUGCGUGCAUCACAGAUUUUCGUGGCUGACGUUAUGAUCAUAAAUACUUCGGAGCAUGAUUAUCUCUUGUUACAUUAUACCCGUGUUCUUAAUGUUUGCGAGUACAUUCAAACGUACUCACUGGCUUGUCCCUGGCUAUUGUCUUGGCCAGAUUUCGCGCAUGGAGAUAAGCAUCACGGUGACAGCCCGGGAGCCUACGUAUUGACGAUAGCAGCCUCGCGAAGAUAGGAGUUAUCCUGGUCAGCUGUUCUUGUGGGAAAUGGAGUCCCAUAGACGCAGAUGAACCACAAACCACUUCCGCCAUCAACCACUAGAAACCAAGUGUUGUAUUCAUAGGCCACUUUGGUCUUGUACUACAUAUUUUGUACUUUGCUUGGAAUUCUUGUAUCAAGUUGGUGCCUCAUCAGCUAACAGUAAUCCUGGGGCUGGUGAGCACAAAGGCCGUUUUCUGGGAAAUUAAUACCCCGAAAAUCCGGUCGUGACACUGAUUGACUCAGUGACAAUCCAUUGAGAUUUCCGAAAGAUGGAUUUCCACAACUAUGUGAACAAGGAGAUAACAUUUGUCAGAUCAAAUGGUAUAAUGAUGUAUGCUCGAGGGAGACAUACACAAUUAAACAUUGUUUGAAAUGUGCACCCGAAAUAUGGGCUGGGUUGCACGACCAACGUCGGAAUGGUGAUUCAAUAAUCAAUAGUCUAAGAAUGAACGGCCGACCAUUAACUUCAAAGCAAUAGGGUUGCUAGAAGGGCAGGAUCCAAACAGCACCGCUCACUCGUUUUUACCCCGGUUGGAAUCAACACGAGGACCCAAGAAGGAAUGGUGAUGGUGAGAAGUAUCACCAUACCAAGAUUUCUUAAGAGGUGGCGAAAUUCUCACAACAUUGAGGACAAAAGAGAUGUUAAUGUUCCAAGGUAAAGAAGAACAAUUGCUAGAUAGCAAGGAACUUAAAGUUCAUUCAAACAAGACCAAGUCUGUGUUUGAAAGGAAGGCAUGGAUGUGGUCGAUGAUAACACUGAUCAUCGAGGGACAAGCAUGGAAUUUCUCAUCAUGAAUUCAAUUGAUAUCUUGGAAGAAGUUAAAAUGUUGACGAUGAUCACGACACACUUGUCGAGAGGUUUCUUGAAGAUGUAAUCGAUCAGCAAUGACAUCAAGUCAAAGGAAUGGUGAAGCGAAAAGUUAUUGGAAUCAAGGGUACGACACAAACUCCAAACCAAGCUUGUUGUUGGAGGUGAAACGAUAAGAUGAGGAAGAUCGACAUAAGCUUAGCUCAUCAUCGAAAGUUGUGCUCCACGGUUAAGGACCAGGUAGCACAGUUAAAAUUUAGCACGCUAAGGAUAUAGCCUAUCAGGCUAGGAAUGACUUAAAUGAUUAUUAAACUCAUAAGCAACGAAAAUUACUUAGAGUUAUUGAAUUGGAGUGUGGAAUUGAUUCACUUAUCGGUGUCCUUGAGGAGUUCUAACAACUCGGAGCCCGUGAAAAAUUGGAAUCAAUGAGAAUGUAAUACUUGAUGGAGAACUCAUAAGAAGUUAUGCAGUUCCGUGAUAAUCUCGAGAUACCAGGGGGGUAACACUCGACGACAAACCAAAGUAGAGGUUGGACUGGGGUAUUGCCCUUACAGAAGACAAGUGCUUAAACUUGUACGAGAAAUGGUAUUUAAAGGAGAACAUGGUCGGAACCACGAUUGCAAAAGGAUCAAUACACAGAUACUAGACGAUAUCAUAUCAAGGAAAUAGUUAUUAUUACAAGAAGCUUCUAAGAUAGGAUCUACAUCGUGUCCAUGGGCAUGAACACAAAGUUCAAGGUCGACUCCCACUUCUCCAAUGCAUAACCUUUCAUUCACUUCUCGCAUUCGAUAAAGGCAUUAGUGUUGAAAGUUUUACCUGGUGAAAUACCAGAUGAGUAUGGCCCGUGAAAUCUUUUGGGCUCACAUAGAUUAGGUAAGGCAUUGGUUCAACCCAUCAAGGCAUCUUAGGAACAUAUACCACAAAUUUUUUUGGAGUAAUUAACACAAGCUCGAAUGUAGAGCAUGGUUCACAAAGCAGAGGAUACAAUUUACCAAAGGCAUCAUGUAUCCGAGGAAAAGCUCACAAGCUUAUUUAAUAUGAAGGACAUUGUCGGAUAAAAUCCGACAAAAGGGUCUGGUGGUCCACUAGGGAUCGGAUGUGAGCAUCAGUACUCAACCAGAGGAAGAAAGAAUGCCAGGAGGUCAGGUUAUAGAAACAACUGACUAACUCAAAGCUCACAUGUAAAGGAAUUAUAGUUUCCAAAUCAAAGGAUCAGAAGCAAAUGCUCUGAUUAAGGAUGGAUAACUUGAGUAAGCUUAGGGGUACAAACGACGACAAUUUGAUUGGUCGAGAUCCAGCUCAUGUUAAAAAUGACGUCUGAGCCGGAAGGAUGAAUUCUAGGAUCUGAUUGAGGAUUGCGAGCAUUCACAACAAAUUGGAUCAAUGGACUCAAAAUGAUAAUGGCAAGAGAUGCCAAUAAUAUUACGAGACUUAAGAUUAAUCAUAAUGCAAGUAAGCAAGAAUUUCAAGAGCAAAAAGGCUCCUGAAGAUUUUCGAAGAUCGAAUGAUAUUUUGAACACUUUUGUGAAAUAUUUGAAUCAACUGGGGAUGAGCGGAUACUCGGUCAGUGCGAGAAUUAUCCGUAGGGGUAUUCAGGUGACAAAGAACUGUAUAGCAGUAAGCUCAAAGGAUUCUUGGAACAACGGAGAGCGGUUCGGGGCAUCUUGUAUCAACAAGAUCAACUUGGAAUAAAAUUAAGAACGACGGGUGUAAGUAUUUAUCCAUAGAUCAGUGGUAGGGAAUUGCAAAAGCAACGAGCACAAAGUCUCGAGAACAUCGGAGAAUAUUUGAGGGCACCUUGUAAUAACAAGGGCAACUGGGGAUGAAGGUAUGAACGAUAAAAGUAUGUAUUUAUCCAUAAAGAUUUAUCGGUGGUAGGGAUCGCAAUGGCGAAGGGUACAAGGGUCUCGGGAAAGCAUCAGAGAGUGUCUUCAGAAUCUUCUGGUGCAGCAGGCGAUCAUCUGGCCGGAAGGGGCUCUCCGGGAGAAAGUAUUUACGAGAACCUAUAGUUAGUCUUUUUAGCAAAAUCAUUUAACCCGGAUAGGAGAGAGUUCAGAGUCCCAGAGUAAAGGUCGAGGAAUAAAAGAUCCUAUUACCACCCAAUGGCGACGUGGGCCCGUAAGACACACAGCCAUGUUAGUAAAAGUUUUUCAAUGACUAGACUCGACUUCGGCCAUGGAGUUUGGAAGGGGGUUUCCUACAGGCAGUCGGCUCUGAUACCAACUUGUGACGCCACUGAUUUGACCGUACACUAAUCAUGCACGCAAAUGUGUACGAUCAAGAUCAGGGACUCACGGGAAGAUAUCACAACACAACUCUACAACAUAAAUAAGUCAUACAAGCAACAUAAUACAAGCCAGGGGCCUCGAGGGCUCGAAUACAAGUGCUCGAUCAUAGACGAGUCAGCGGAAGCAACAAUAUCUGAGUACAGACAUAAGUUAAACAAGUUUGCCUUAAAAAGGCUAGCACAAAAGUAGCAACGAUCGAAGAGGCAAGGCCUCCUGCCUGGGACCUCCUAACUACUACUCGAAGCCGAACUCCAUGUAGAAACAUCCUCGGGAUCUCUAGCUCCUGGACUCCAGCAUCUGGUUGCAACAACCAGGUAUAGAAAGGGGAAAAGAGGGAGAAAAGCAACCGUGAGUACUCAUCCAAAGUACUCGCAAGCAAGGAGCUACACUACAUAUGCAUGGGUAUAUGUGUAAAGGGCAUAUCAGUGGACUGAACUGCAGAAUGCCAGAAUAAGGGGGGGUAGCUAGUCCUGUCGAAGACUACGCUUCUCGCCAUCUCCAUCUUGCAGCAUGUAGAAGAGAGAAGAUUGAAGUCCUCCAAGUAGCAUCGCAUAGCAUAAUCCUACCCGGCGAUCCCCUCCUCGUCGCCCUGUUAGAGAGCGAUCACCGGGUUGUAUCUAGCACUUGGAAGGGUGUAUUUUAUUCAGUAUCCGGUUCUAGUUGUCAUAAGGUCAAGGUACAACUCCGGGUCGUCCUUUUACCGAGGGACACGGCUAUUCGAAUAGAUAAACUUACCUGCAGGGGUGCACCACAUAACCCAACACGCUCGAUCCCAUUUGGCCGGACACACUUUUCUGGGUCAUGCCCGGCCUCGGAGGAUCAACACGUCGCAGCCCCACCUAGGCUCAACAGAGAGGUCAACACGCCGGUCUAAAUCCUAUGCGCGCAGGGGUCUGGGCCCAUCGCCCAUUGCACACCUGCACGUUGCGAGGGCGGCCGGAAGCAGACCUAGCCUAGCAGGCAUUCUAGUCCAAUCCGGCGCGCGCCGCUCCGUCGCUGACGUCAAGAAGAGCUUCGGCUGAUACCACGACGCCAGGAUACCCAUAACUACUCCCGCGUAGAUGGUUAGUGCGUAUAGACCAAAUGGCCAGACUCAGAUCAAAUACCAAGAACUCGUUAAGCGUGUUAUGUCGAAGUAACCGCGGACGCCGUCCAGGGCCAGGCCCACCUCUCACCUAGGUGGUCUCAACCUGCCCUGUCGCUCCGCCACAAAGAUCCACUUGCGGGUACUCCUACGAGCCGACCCGACUUUAGUCAUCACAUGUGUCAUGUAUAUAGUAUAUAAGUAUAUACCCGUGAUCACCGCCCAAGUGAUCAUGGCCCGAUAGUAUAGCACAGCAGACGGACAAGAAUGUAGGUCCACUGAUGGAAAACUAGCAUCCUAUACUAAGCAUGUAGAAUUGCAGGUAAAGGUAACAACAGUAGAAGCAAGGACAGGCUAUGCAUAAGGAUAGGAUUAACGGAAAGCAGUAACAUGCUACACUACUCUAAUGCAAGCAGUAUAGAGAAGAAUAGGCGAUAUCUGGUGAUCAAGGGGGGGGCUUGCCUGGAAGCUCAGCCGAGGAGGGGUCGUCAACACCGUAGUCGUACUGGGUAGCAGCGGCGUCGGUCUCGGUGUCUAGCGAGAGAAGAGGGGGAAGAAACAAUAAAUAUAAAGCAAACAAUGCGUGACGAUGCAUGACAUGGCAAAGCGCGGCGCUAGGUGUGCCCUAACGUGGUAGGAAGUGAUACCGACGAAGGGGGGGGAACAUCCGGGAAAGAAAUCCCAGUGUUCGACGUUUUUGGACGGAUGGACCGGAGGGGAAAGUUGUGUGCUCGCUAUGCUAGGAAUGUGUGGCGGACGAACGGACUGCGUAUUCGGAUUCGUCUCGUCGUUCUGAGCAACUUUCAUGUACAAAGUUUUUCCAUCCGAGCUACGGAUUAUUUUAUAUUAAUUUUUAAAGAUUUAAAUCAUUUUUAGAAUUUAAUAAAUUAUUUUAAUUCGAAAAUUAAUUAAUGCAUCAGCAUGACAUCAGCAGUCAACGUUGACCGUUGAUCUGGUCAACCUGACAGGUGGGUCCCACCUGUCAGUGACUGUUAGUUAAUUGUCAAUAGUUAAUUAGGUUAAUUAAUCUUAAUUAAUUAAUAUUGACAUGAUUAAAUAAGUUAAUUAAUUAUCUUAAUUAAUUAAUUUAUUUAUUUAUUAUUUUUUUAUUUUUUUAUUUCCUUUUUUAUUUCGUUCUGGGGCUGGGCCCCGUUUGUCAUAGGCCAGGGGCGGACAUGUCCGCCCGGGCCCUUUGGGCACCGGACUUGUCCGGGCUCGNNNNNNNNNNNNNNNNNNNNNNNNNNNNNNNNNNNNNNNNNNNNNNNNNNNNNNNNNNNNNNNNNNNNNNNNNNNNNNNNNNNNNNNNNNNNNNNNNNNNNNNNNNNNNNNNNNNNNNNNNNNNNNNNNNNNNNNNNNNNNNNNNNNNNNNNNNNNNNNNNNNNNNNNNNNNNNNNNNNNNNNNNNNNNNNNNNNNNNNNNNNNNNNNNNNNNNNNNNNNNNNNNNNNNNNNNNNNNNNNNNNNNNNNNNNNNNNNNNNNNNNNNNNNNNNNNNNNNNNNNNNNNNNNNNNNNNNNNNNNNNNNNNNNNNNNNNNNNNNNNNNNNNNNNNNNNNNNNNNNNNNNNNNNNNNNNNNNNNNNNNNNNNNNNNNNNNNNNNNNNNNNNNNNNNNNNNNNNNNNNNNNNNNNNNNNNNNNNNNNNNNNNNNNNNNNNNNNNNNNNNNNNNNNNNNNNNNNNNNNNNNNNNNNNNNNNNNNNNNNNNNNNNNNNNNNNNNNNNNNNNNNNNNNNNNNNNNNNAGGGUUUUGGCAGCGGGGCGCGAGGUGGAUGACGGGGACGACGGCGGAGAGGAGAAGCAGGCCGGCGAGGGAGCGCCGACGACGGGUGGCGGGGCGGCAUCGGGCGCACGGGAUCGAGGGGCGAGGGGAUCGGGAUCCCGAUCCAGAUCGACGAGCUGGGGUGGGGGGCGAGUGGGCUAGGGUUUCGGGGCAGUGGGGGGAUAAUGGGGAGUGGGAGGCCGCGGGUGGGCCGGCCUGGUUGGCCCGGUGGCCAGCUGGGCCACGGCCCAGCAGGGGGGCUUUUACUUUUUUUUGCUUUUGAUUUCCCCUUUUAUUCUUUUUCUUUUUCUAUUUUAUUUCUAGUUUCUUUUAUUUUUAGUUUUAUAAAAAUUACCACUAGUACCUAAAUUAGUACUUCAACUUAGUCCAUAGUCAGAAAAUGUAUAGUCCCCAAAUAACUUAGUUUGAUAUUUUAUUAAUUACAAAAGGUAUUUAAAUAAAUGUUUUUGUUGUUGUUUUUAUUAUUUUGGUGCAUCUAGAUAUACUAUAACAGUGUGGUUUCUUCACCAUAAUUACAUACGCAUUAUUUGGCACAACCCGAACUUUUUAGUUUUAUUUUUCGAAAACUUUUGUUGCUUGCCUUAUUUUGAAUUUGAAUUUAGGAUCGGUUUCGAACUAACGCGAGAUUAGCAACAGUAAUCGAGGUGACGUGGCAUCAUUAGCAGACUUUUACUAUAGCCUGAUUAUCCGGGCGUCACAACAACCCAGUUUAUAGCCUGCUCCUCCGAAUUACUACUCAAAAAAAAUUGUGCAAUUCUGUCGUUAAUUGACUAUACGUUGAAAAUGAUGUGGGUCCCAGAUAUCAGCAGGGUGGAUUAGAGUAAAAAACGAGGGGUGCAUCUGAGUAGUAAAAGAGGCGCUUGCUUGUGUUCGGGAGUGGACCUGGUGGGUACGUAUUGUCAUACUCACAACUACAGUCCUCUCCCGAUUCACUAUGUUGACAGGGACGGACGGCGGCGCCGCGGCGAGCGCACCAAGUUGGACAUUCUUAUUGAAAAAUAAAAAUGGACCGGAACUAUUUACGACGUUGACUACGAUUUGCAUGGGUCCGCUGGUUGCAGGAAGAAUGGUGGGAGAAAGAAGACUGGCCGCUAUCUUUGCCUAAGAAUAGUAUCGACUGAAUGUAACGACACUAUCAUAGGAAAUAAUAUCCUCCUGUUAAAUCGUGAAUUUAAAGAACUGGUGCAUGAGCAUUUAGCUUUAUUUAUUUAUUUACUUAUUUCUAUACUACUUAUAGUGUACCAGUUUUGAAUUGGGCAUCAUCAUCAAUCCUAGCCAUUCGUGUGCUCAAUCCAACGGCUGAAAAGAGUGGGAUUCGCAAUGAACAGUACAGCGCUGCUCCAUCCACAAUAUUCCAGACCAAUCGCCUCAUCCUUCUCAAAAUAAGUGGCCCAUAUUGAUUCCUCUUGGCCCAUGUUGCAAGCUGUUGAGCCCAUGAAAAGUUGUUUUCAGAGAGGAAAUAUACAGUAAAGUUAUACUCUCUCCAUCCCACAAUAUAAAAUAUUUCGGCAAGCAAUUUUAUGAAUUAUUUUCUUUCUUAACAAAUUACGGGGAUUACAUAUAUUAACUUACUUUUUUGUAAUGUAUUUUCAUUCUGCAUCCGUACAUAAACGAUAUUUUCAUUUUGCCUUGAAUCUAUUGGCAAGUCUAUGUUUUUUAAACCAAAAACCACUCCAUAAUAAUGGUAAAACGUGCGUUGCACGUGCAUACAUACUAGUAUGUUUAGGGGAACAUGAGCAUGUACCUGGCCGGAUUCAUGUGAGAGCCUCCCUUCCAGUUAAUUAUGGGCACCUCUAUUGGGCCUUCAUCAGUGGGCUGCAUGUUAUCAACAAGUGGAAAAUGUGUUCCGUACCAAAAAUAGUAUGCGCUAUGUACGGUACGGGGCACUAAAGGAUCGGACCGUGCAACGACUUCCAAAACAUUGUGUUUGUCAGUCUAACAACACAUUUAUUCAACCAACAAACGAAAUAUACUACUGAUUGUACAUUAAAAACAGCAGCAGCAGCAACCAGGGCUGGGGUGCAACGAAGCAGUAAGUAGGCCAGAAGAGUAAAGACACAGCUCUCUCUUCCAAACCAAACAUCAGCCAUCAUUACAAAAGGGCUACCAAAAAAGAACAAGUGUAUGCAUCAAACUAAAUAAAGAUCCUACUACACCAAGUGUACGCAUCUAAUUAACUGGCUCAGUUAGACGUUACUAUUUAUUAAGCUAUAGAGAUUGGCUGACGGCUUGAACCAGAUGGGUGCCUGGCGGGGGAAACUCCAGCCAGCAGGUCGAAGUCUGAUACUUGUGACCCUCUCUCCUACUUUGGGCUGCAGAGCAUGGCGGCACAUAUCAGGGUAUGGUGCAUGCAGAGACGCAUGGUACGCUGUGUACACACAGUUUUGCCUGAUGAACGAAACCGCGCUACCAUCAUGAUCCUUGCCGUCGGUUAUCUCCUGGUUAAUCAGAUAAUUCAGUCCGAGAAAUAGAGAGCGUGUACCAAGGCUACUUACUAGCCUCCAGUCAAAAAUUCCUGAAGGCCCAGAGAAGCUGGGAUCCUGCUCAAAGACCUUGCAGUGACUGUGAUUGUAUUCCACGAAACAACACGUCCGGUACAUGCGAACGAUCAUCAAUCGUUCGCCAUCGUCUGAUCGAGCUAGGAACCACCUGCAAUUGCUGACAAUGACAUGUACCUAGGGUAGGGUAACAGACCUGAUCUAAGCACCCUUCCCAAGGACACUUCCUUACAGUCAAAGACAUUCAAAGGACAGCAAAUUCUACCGACCGAAAUCACCACAGGAUGCAAUCCACUCGACCGUGAGUUCCACUCGGAUAACUCAAUUCCACUCGACCAAGAUAUAAUCAUUCGACUAUAUCAGAAAACACUCGGAGUACAGAAGAUCUAAGGUUACUCUGGAUGGCAACGGUCAAGCACUCACUCCGUAGUCUUGAUGAUCAUUUAUAUGACUUUUAUGCUGGUGUUACCAGUAACGUCCUAUCUUUAUGUACAUUGAACCCUGUGUAACUGAGGGCCGGAGGUGUCUGGCGAACUCUAUAUAAGCCACCCCCCUCCUCAGGCACAAGGGUUCGCACCCCCUGUAAGUUCACGCAUAAUCCAAUCGACCGGCCUCAGGGCACCGAGACGUAGGGCUGUUAUUUCCUCUGAGAAGGGCCUGAACUCGUAAACCUUGCGUGCACAACUUCACCGUAGCUAGGAUCUUGCCUCCUCAUAUCUACCCCCCAUUCUACUGUCAGACUUAGAACCACGACAGUUGGCGCCCACCAUGGGGCCGGUAUCUUAGCAACUUUCCGGUGAGGUUGCAGUUUUUCCCGAUUCCCAUCAUCAUGGUUUCCGGCGGUGGAUUGACUGAGGGCCGCGAGAUCCGUCUCGGCGCGCUCGUCUUCGUCGCUGACGACUCCGCCUGGCUCUAGGAGGCCCCUCUCGACGUUGAGACACUCCCCGUCCAUGGGGCGAUGCACUUUCGUGCGUGCGUUCGCGGCGUCCUUCUACGGCAGCCGUCGACCCAGUAUCGGUCGGCUCCCGCGGUAUCUUCACUCACCACUGUUCGCCGUCGCAAGUGAUCCGGUCGGUCGCGGCUUCAGCGGUGGGUGAAGCACGCGGUGGCACGCCAGUCGGCCACCCCCCAAGUGGCGGCAAUCGAGCCCGACGAAUCUCUCUACGGCAUGUUCGAUCUGUCGACUGGCUCCGUCGAGACCCUGUCCGAGUGCGACAGCAGCGACCCUGCGGUAGAAGUCUUGAUGGUCGACUCACCGCACAACCCCCCUGGCAUGCGUCGCAACAGUGGCGGCAAUGGCGGGGGUGAUCCGUCGCGCGUUCAUGAAGAGUACCACCCCGAAACCCUUUCUUCGCAGCAGAGGGAGGAACUUCACCGCCGCAACAUUGAGGCGCUCCACACGCCUAUCAUUGGAGAGACCUCUGAGGCUCGGGCCUUGGAGGAGGUGCGCCUGGCCACUUUGCCUGAGUGCACCCGACUGGAGAACCUUCAGCAUGCACUCGACGAGCGUGCUCGGCAGCGGAUCCCUGAGUCCAGUCGACGGGAGCAACAAUUGUUCCCGCCUCAACCUCAGGUAUACGACACUCCGAUUCAGAAUCUUACAGCUGCAGCCCGUAUAGUAGAGUCUAUUUAGCCGUCCCAGUCGGAGGCUGGAAGAGGUUUGAUGCAGAUCCGAGCUCUGCUCCGGGCGGCAGGGGAGCAGAACACGGCAGUGUCUCAGUCGCGGAAUGGAAUCCAUAGCAGAUCUGUGGUGGCUGAUACAGUCCAGUCGGCUCACAGCCCAAGAUCGCCUUUGAGGCGUGAGGGACGUGGGCAUCGCCAAGAGCGGUACUUGGGUCGGAACCAUGAGCAGUAUGAUCAUCGACUCGGCCGUGAUGACCGCUGUCGAGUGCCUACGACCCCUCCGAGGGGCGGAUCAUAUGUGCCCCGGCAUUAUGAUGACAGGCGCACAUACAUCGAAGAGCGGAGGUUGCCAGUCGACCCAAGAGAGCCAGAGUUUGAUGCGAGGUCAAUUUUGAUGCAAGGCCUAGUCGACAGGAACCGAGCACACAGAGAAGGGCAAGACAGAGAUCGCCCGAGUGGAAGCAGAGUACAUGUUUCAGGUCUCGAGUGUUUUAGCAGAGCCAUCAGAGCUGCUGAGAUCCCUCCCAACUUCAGGUUGGCGACUGGGGUUAGUAAGUUUACUGGUGAGUCCAAGCCUGACACUUGGCUGGAGGAUUACCGAGUGGCUGUACAGAUCGGUGGUGGAAAUGAUGAGGUAGCUAUGAAGCAUCUUCCUCUGAUGUUAGAAGGUUCGGCCAGAGCUUGGCUGAAUCAGUUGGCCCCAGGCAGUAUAUUCAGCUGGGAAGAGCUAGCCCGAGUGUUUGUCAGAACUUUUGAGGGUACUUGCAAACGACCAGCAGGGUUGGCAGAAUUGCAAUAUUGUGUACAAAAGCUGAAUGAGACUUUGAGAGAUUACAUUCAGAGGUGGACCACUUUGCAUCACACAAUGGAAAAUUUAUCUCAACAUCAAGCAGUUUGCGCCUUCAAGGAGGGCGUACGGUAUCGAGAGCUAACCCUGAAAUUCGGUCGGACAGGAGACAUGACUCUGACCCGAAUGAUGGAAAUAGCCACUUGGUACGCUAAUCGAGAAGAAGAGGAUCGACUCCGCAGUGGAAAGGCAAACCAGUCGCCCAAGACACCGACGGAGGUCGGAAGCAGAAACGCAAAGCCGAGCCAGCAGGUCCAGGUGAAGCUUUGGUCGUAGGUCAAGGAAAAUUCAAGGGGAAGCCCAAAGGGCCUUGGAUCCCCAAGAAGGUAAAAGAUCAAGCAGGAAAUGAUGUGUUGGAUUUGCCAUGCCAUGUUCACACCAAGAAGGACGAAGAGGGUAAUCUGAUCUACCCAAAACAUACCACUUGGCAAUGUUGGCUCCUAAUCCAGCAGUUCCGAGAGAAACAGCCCAGUGAGAAGGAGAAGGAGUCUGACAAGGACGAGGAAGAAGAAGAUGAUGGUUUUCCCAACGUCAAUUCCACUUUGGUGAUUUUUGCUGACGUUGAAAGCAAAAGUCGAUUGAAGGUCAUCAACAGAGAAGUAAACAUGGUGGCUCCGGCAACACCAACAUAUUUGAAGUGGUCCAAGACUCCCAUCACAUUCGACCAGUCCGACCACCCCCCGCGUGUUGCCACCCCCGGGAGGCAAGCAUUGGUGGUCGACCCAGUCGCUGGGGGCACCCGACUGACCAAAGUCUUGAUGGAUGGAGGCGGUGGUCUGAACAUUUUGUACGCAUAAACUCUCCGAGGAAUGGGCAUUCUGAUGUCCAAACUCAGCGAAAGCAACAUGCGAUUGCACGGAGUCAUCCCUAGGAAGAAAGCCGAUUCACUCGGCCAGAUCGCUCUUGACGUAGUUUUCGGUGAUUCAAAUAAUUACCGUAAGGAAAAGUUGACAUUUGAAGUUGUGGAUUUUCACUGUGCCUAUCAUGCCAUCCUGGGUAGAACUGCAUAUGCUCGUUUCAUGGCUCGACCAUGUUACGUGUACCUCAAGCUAAAGAUGACUGGACCUAGAGGCGUGAUCGCAGUCACUGGUAAUCGGCAACGAGCAGAAGAGUGCCUCCAGAAGGGCUCGAAGAUUGCUGAUAAACAAAUGGCAGCAGUAGAAAUGGAAGAGUACAAGAAGACUGCAGAUCCGAGUGAUUUGUUGAGAGCAAAGAAGCCUGCUUCAGACUCUGCAUUUAAGUCGUCUGGUGAAACAAAGGCAGUUCAUAUUCACCCGACUGAUCCCAAUGCUGCUCCGACUCAUAUCUCAACAACACUCGACAGCAAAUAGGAAGAAGCGCUCGUCUAGUUCCUCCGUCAAAACUGGGACAUCUUCGCAUGGAAACCUUCUGACAUGCCAGGAGUGCCCAGGGAACUGGCUGAACACCGUUUGUGAGUCGACCCAAAGGUAAAACCAGUCAAAGAGCAUCUCCGAUGGUCGCCGUACAGAAAAGAAAAGCCAUUGGCGAGGAAGUGGCUCGGCUUUUGGCAGAUGAGUUCAUCCGAGAGAUUUACCACUCCGAGUGGCUCGCCAAUGUCGUCAUGGUGCCCAAGAAAGAUGAUUCACUCCGUAUGUGUAUCGACUUCAAGCAUAUCAAUCGGGCCUGCCCGAAAGAUCACUUCCCUCUUCCCCGCAUCGAUCAGAUAAUCGACUUGACUACGGGGUGUGAGCGAUUGUCCUUUCUGGAUGCAUAUUCCUAGUACCAUCAGAUUUGACUGUAUGGACCUGAUGAAAUAAAAACAGCUUUUAUCACCCCAUUCGGGUGCUUUUGCUAUGUUACUAUGCCCUUUGGUCUCAAGAAUGCUGGUGCCACAUUCAUGAGUAUGAUUCAGAAGUGCCUGCUCACUCAAAUCAAUCAGAAUGUGGAAGCAUACAUGGAUGACAUCGUGGUUAAGUCACGUAAAGGUUCCGACCUGCUGACUGACCUUGCUGAAACCUUUGCCAAUCUGAGAAGAUAUGAUAUCAGGCUCAAUCCAUCGAAGUGUACAUUCGGAGUUCCAGGUGGAAAGUUACUCGGUUUCCUCGUUUCUGAACGUUGGAUCGAUGCAAACACAGAGAAGGUUGGUGCAAUACUCCGAAUGAAACGCCCUAUGCGCAUACACGAUGUUCUGAAGCUUACUGGUUGUCUGGCCGCUUUGAGUCGAUUCAUCUCUCAUCUCGGUGAAAAGGCAUUGCCUCUUUACCGACUGAUGAAGAAAUCUGACAAGUUCGAGUGGACUCCUGAAGCUGACGCAGCGUUUGCAGAGCUCAAAACCCUGCUUUCCACCCAGCCGGUGCUCGCUGCUCCAAUCAGCAAAGAGCCUUUACUGCUUUAUAUUGCAGCCACUGGACAAGUCAUCAGUACAGUACUCACGGUCGAGCGGGAAGAAGAAGGUAAAGCCUACAAGGUUCAACGCCCAGUGUACUACAUUUCUGAAGUCUUAACCCCAUCCAAGAAGAGAUAUCCACAUUAUCAUAAGCUUGUCUAUGGGAUUUACUUGACCACAAAGAAGGUUGCGCAUUACUUCUCAGAUCAUUCAAUUACAGUCGUCAGCGACGCUCCAUUGUCAGAAAUUUUGAACAACAGAGAUGCAACUGGUCGAGUGGCCAAAUGGGCGAUUGAACUCCUUCUGCUGGAUAUCAAGUUCGAGGCAAAGAAAGCAAUCAAAUCCCAAGCAAUAGCAGAUUUUCUCGUCAAGUGGAUUGAACAGCAGCUGCCGACUCAAAUUCAGUCGGAAUAUUGGACUAUGUUCUUUGAUGGGUCCAAUAUGUUGAAUGGUUCAGGUGCAGGGGUAGUCCUGGUAUCCCCGCGAGGCGACAAGCUCAGUUAUGUUCUCCAGAUUCACUUUGACUCCUCCAACAAUGAAGCUGAAUAUGAGGCACUUCUGUAUGGGUUGCGUAUGGCCAUUUCACUCGGCGUCCGGCGCCUAAUGGUUUACGGCGACUCAGAUUUGGUGGUCAAUCAAGUGAUGAAGGAAUGGGAUGUUAGGAGUCUAGCUAUGACUGGUUAUUGCAAUGCAGUGAGGAAAUUGGAAAAUAAGUUUGAGGGGUUAAAGCAUCACCAUAUACCCCGACUGAAGAACCAGGCAGCCGAUGACCUGGCAAAGAUAGGUUCCAAGAGGGAGCCCAUUCCCAGCAAUGUGUUUUUGGAACAUAUUCACACACCAUCCGUUCAAGAGGAUCCCUUCAUAGAAGAGCCCCCACAACCUGAGAGCUCCACUGACCCGACUGAAGUUGAAAUCCCAGCCGUGGUCGACUUGAUCAUGGAAGUUUUGGUCGUCAUUCCUCAUUGGACAGUGCCGUACAUCGCAUAUAUUCUCAGGAAAGAACUCCCAGAGGAUGAAGAAGAGGCUCGUCAGAUCGUCCGUCGAUCCAAAGCCUUUAUUGUGAUGGGUGGACAGCUUUACAGAGAGAGUGUUACUGGAAUCGCUCAGAGAUGCAUCACAUCAGAAGAAGGCCGAAUGAUCCUCCACUCGGGGACCUGUGGUCACCAUGCGUCCUCUUAGACCAUCGUGGCCAAAGCAUACCGAGCAGGGUUUUACUGGCCACAUGCUAAUGAGAUGGCAAAAGAAAGAGUAGACAAGUGUGAGGGCUGUCAAAUCUACUCCAACAUGUCCCACUAGCCUGCAUCAGCCUUAAAGACCAUCCCACUCGUCUGGCCAUUUGCUGUUUGGGGAUUGGAUAUGGUUGGACCUUGGAGGACUGGCAGGAGUGGCUUCACCCAUCUGCUCGUGGCAGUCGAUAAGUUCACCAAAUGGGUUGAAGCUAAACCUAUCAAAAACCUCGAAUCAAGUAUUGCUGUCAGCUUCAUCAGAGAGUUAACAUUCAGAUAUGGAGUUCCACACAGUAUCAUCACAGAUAAAGGGUCAAACUUUGAUUCAGAUGAGUUUAGAGCUUUUUGCGCUUCCCAGGGCACUCGGGUCGACUAUGCUUCAGUCGCCACCCACAGUCGAAUGGGCAAGCAGAAAGAGCAAACGGUUUGAUUCUCAAAGGGCUGAAACCUUGAUUGAUGCGUGACCUCAAACAUGUAGCAGGCGCUUGGGUCGACGAGCUACCCUCAGUACUUUGGGGAUUGAGAACAACUCCAAAUCGGUCAACUGGUCGUACUCCCUUCUUCUUGGUGUAUGGGGCAGAAGAUGUGCUUCCGAGUGACUUGCUUCACAAUGCGCCCCGAGUGGAACUUUUCUCAGAUACUGAAGCAGAAUAGGCCCGACAGGAUGCCGUUGAUCUUCUGGAGGAAGAGAGAGAUGGCCUUGAUCCGGUCGACUAUCUAUCAGCAAGACCUUCGUCAAUUAUAUUCCAGAAACGUGAGAGGUCGAGCAUUUCAAGAGGGGGACCUCGUUCUCCGAGUGGAUCAGCAACGGCCGACAAGCUUGCUCCUGCUUGGGAAGGCCCCUUCAUCAUCACUAAGGUGCUCCACAACGGAGCGUAUCACCCCUAUAAUGUGGAGCACAAUAAAGACGAGCCAUGCUCUUGGAAUGCGGAGCUGCUCCGCAAUUUUUAUACUUAAGCAUUUAGAAUGUUGAGAUGUAAUAAGAAGUACCUUUUAGUUUGUUUAUCAAAGACACAAAUUUACAGUCUCCUAAAUGAUUGUUGUUACUUAUAUAUGUGUUCAGAAUCCCCCAGUGGGUGGCAUAGCCGCGAAUCCGUUUCGCCUAAGUUCCAAAAACAAAUCCUACCGAGUGAAGAGCAAGCCCAUCACUCGGAGGCUUAGCCGCGAAUCCGUUUCGCCUAAGUUUGAAAAAAUCCUACAGAGUGAAGAGCAAGCCUCUCACUCGAGGGCUUAGCCGCGAAUCUGUUUCGCCUAAGUUUGAAAAAAUCCUACCGAGUGAAGAGCAAGCCUCUCACUCGGAGGCUUAGCUGCAGUUCUGUACUCGCCUAAGUUUGAAAAAUCCCACCGAGUGAAGAGCAACCCUCUCACUCGGGGGCUUAGCCGCGAAUCUGUGUCACCUAAGCUUGAAAAAAAUCCUACCGAGUGAAGAGCAAACCUCUCACUCGGGGGCUUACCGCGAAUCUGUUUCGCCUAAGUUUGAAAAAAUCCCACCGAGCGAAGAGCAACCCUCUCAUUCGGGGACUUAGCCGCGAAUCUGUUUCGCCUAUGUUUGAAAAAAUCCUAUCGAGUGAAGAGCAACCCUCUCACUCGGGGGCUUAGCCGCGAAUCUAUUUCGCCUAAGUUUGAAAAAAUCCUACCGAGUGAAGAGCAACCCUCUCACUCGGGGGCUUAGCUGUAGUUCCAUACUCGCCUAAGUUUGAAAAAAUCCCACCGAGUGAAGAGCAACCCUCUCACUCGGGAGCUUAGCUGCAGUUCCAUACUUGCCUAAGUUUGAAACACGUUCGGAGUGAAGAACGAUCUUCUCACUCGGGGACUUGGCCACACGCUCCAUCCUAAUCCGCAAGGAUGACGAGGUGCAGGUCGACUGUGACCUUCUCUUCAGAGCUGCGCCACAAGUAUAACGUGUGCUCCAUCCUAAUCCGCAAGGAUGACAAGGUGCAGGUCGACUGCGACCUUCUCCUCAGAGCUGCGCCACAUGUAUAACAUGCGCUCCAUCCUAAUCCACAAGGAUGAUGAGGUGCAGGUCGACUGCGAGCUUCUCCUCAGAGUUGCUCCACAAGUACAAUGUGCGCUCCAUCCCGAUCCGCAAGGAUGACGAGGUGCAGGUCAUCCGUGACCCUUUCCUAAGAAUUGCAUCACAAACACAAAAGACUGUUCCGAGUGAAGAAACAAGUUCCACUCGAAGGCAAACACAAGCAUAUUCAAAGAAAGGCUAAGUUUAGGAUAAAUCCCACAAGGUUCCGGACCGCAGAUUAAAGUACUCGGGCAUCAGGCCCGAAGGAGUUUUACUGUUACAAAACAACUUGGCAUACCGAGGAAAAUUGAAACGGAUCAUAAAGAGUUUGUUCACUCCGCAGGAGGAGGACUGGCAGGCUCGACGAACUCAUCCAGGUCGAUUCCAUCAGCAAUCCGAGUAGCAGCAGCAAUGAAAGUCUCCAUGAAGGACUGGAAGUCAAGCUUCUUGGUGUUGGCAACCUUGAUCGCUGCUAGCUUCUAUUCUCUGGCUUCCUGGCAGUGGACACGAACUAGAGGUAGAGCCACGUCAGCACCACACCAGGCAGAAGACUUCUUCCAUUCCUGCACUCGACCGGGGAUCUCAUUGAGUCGAGUCAUCAGAGACUCUAGAUCAUUCUGGAGCGUCGCCCUUGGCCAGAGCGCUGUGUCGAUCCGCGACACCACAACCUUCAGUCGAGCGAGGUGGUCGACGACGCUAGCAAGACGAGAUUCCAGUCGGAGAACAUUCAUGGCAGCUUCAUCCUUGACAGGGGAGUUGAUAGGGUCCAAGGUCGUUUCGAUUUGACCAGUCUCUGCCUCAAAGUUUUGACAUAAUUCUACACUCACAGAGAAACAAUGAGUCGACGGUUUAUGACUAGUCGACGAAAGCAAAUCAAUCGGACGAAGAAAAGUACCUUCAAGCAUGAGGAAUAACUUCUUGGCGAAUCCUCCCAAAUAAUUCUCCAGCUCGUCUCUCUUGCAGGAGAUGUCUUCCACUUUGUUGGUCAGGGUCCCUUUGUCCUUCUUCAGUCGAGUCACCUCUUUGUUGGCGUCAUCAUGGGCAGCCUUCAACUUGGUGUUCUCUUCCUCCAGCUUUCCGACUGAGGCCAGUUUCUGGUCGGCGAGUGCCAUUUUGUCUUCUGCCGUUUUCUGUGCAGCCGCAAGAUCAGAGUCUUUCUUCUCCAAAGACUGUCUCAUUGUUUCUACAAAGAAUAACAUUCGAGUUAGAAAAAGGAAGGAAAAGAUGGCAGGAGAAUCAGUCGAUAAGUUUUCCAUACCAGCAGCAUCAUCCUUAGCCUUGUGCAAAUUCGUCUUGGCCAACUGCAGAUCAAGAUUGAGCUGGAUUUGCUUCUGCUCCAAGUCAGCAAACUGAGCUCCAAGUUCACAAGAUUUCUGUGGUCAGAGGAUAGUGAGUCGAUAGACGCAAAGAUUGGUUGCUUCCGAGCAAUAAAGUAACAAGUUCAAAGAGUUCUAAGACUACUGCCGAAUCAAACAUUCAACAGUAGUCCCGGGGACUACACCCAGUGGGUGCACUCAGCGUGCCCCCACUGGUUCGACUUUUCAAUUGACUUGGUCCGUCCAGUCGAAAAGAAGAGAGAGAAAGAUAUUACUUGUUCUCAGACCAUAGCCGACUGCUCGCAGUCGACUACGGUCUCGGGGACUACACCCAGUGGGUGCACUCACCGUGCCCCCGCUGGUUUAGGUUCCACUCGACGUGAUCUGCUCAGACCGAGUGGAAAAGUUCUGAUCAAAGACCCCCGCCGAAUCAAACAUUCGACGGUGAUCUCGGGGACUACAGCCAGUGGGUGCACUCAGCGUGCCCCCACUGGUUCAAACAUUCAAUCGACACAACCUAGUCGACUCAAGAGGAAAAACUAUUCGGCAAAAAUUGAAACACCCAGUGGGUGUACAGAUGCAAAGUGCAGACUGACAAAUAGAUGCACAGUAAAGGUUUUCAGGUACCAUAUCCUAACAGAACAAGCGUCAAGCUAGAAGAUCAGUCAGAAAUAAGCUAACCUAGACGUUGGCCUGGAGUGCUGAGCUGGCGUCAUAAGCAGCUUGACUGGCCUCGUGAACCACUUUCAUUUGCUCCAUCAUGAUGCCUGCCUAGCGUAUAGCUUCCUUGGCAGCACUCACUUGGUCCUCUGGGACAUGAUGGGCGGUGAAAAGUGAAGACGGUGGAUCAGGUGGAGCCUGUGCAGUCGACGCUGAAGGCUAUGCACUCGACAAUGGAAUGGCAAAAGUAACAGAAGCCCGGUUGAUGUCUCUGGACUGCUGAAUCACUGGUUCCGUCGCCGGCGUCGACUGAGGCGUCUUGCUAGUUGAUGGUUUCCUGCUCGAAGUCCUGCUCCUUCCCGUGGGCCUCAGUGGCACAUCCUCCUUGUCGUCUGGAAGUUCAAUAACAUUGGGUGGAGCUGCAAAGGAAUCAAUCGCAAGAGUUCAGUCGACGUCAAAAUGGCUGAUAAAGUAAAGACAGGAUGAAAAGAGGUAUACCCGCGUCGGAGGUGACUGCGUCUUCCAUCUCCUCCUCAUCAUCAUCAUCUUUAUAAACAGAAGUCCUAGAGGUAGCAGCACUGCAAAUUUCAAAAUUCACUCGGUCAAAACAGAAAAGUGAGUCGACUAAAGGCCAAGUCGUGCCAAACUAAGAAGUUGAAUUCAAAGAUUACCCAGGAGCAAUGGGGAUAGCCACUUUGAUUUUGGGCAAGGCCUUCCGAGGUUUUGACGGCGCGACUUUGGGCUGCUUCGGAGCCUUCUUAGUCGGCACAGGAGAAGACGUCCGAGUGCGCUUUGAAGUCUGUACAGUCUGUGCAGUCACUUUGCCACGGAUGCUUGCUGGGUCAUGGGUAUGCUUGGAGCGUCUUUCUGAGCAAGGUGGAGACUCGACUUCCUAGCCAUUGCUUGAGCCCUCGCUCUCCUCAUCGUCUCCCCCAUUAGAUUGCCAGUCACUGCUCUCACCUCCGCUCACCUCUCCCUCCUGCUCCUGCUCCUGCACCUGCUCUCCAUUGGGCAUCGAGUACAUCUCAGUGUAAACCUACAAGGCAAGAGAUUGAACAGAUAUCAGUCAGUUUUCAGAAACAAUUACAUGUCAGAUCAAAAAGACACUCGGAAGUAAAGAUUCGGACCUUGUCUGGUUCGUAGGUGUUGUCGAGUGGAGGGAUCCUCCUAGACCCCCUGGGGUUGUCCUUGUUGCCAGUGAUGCCCUGCAGCCACUGCGCCACCGUCUCCUCGUCAACUUCCUCCGGGUGGAUCCGAGCGGUGUCGUCAAUACCCGAGUACAUCCACAUCGGGUGAUCGCGGGCUUGGAGUAGUUGGAUGCAUCGACUGAGAAAAACCUCCAGCAAAUCCAUGCCAGUCAUGCCGUCACGGACAAGUUGGACUACUCGCUCAACCAAUAUUUUAACCUCCACUUUCUCCGCCGGAGUCACUUUCAAGGAAGAAGGCUUCUCGACUCGGUCCAUGGAAAAGGAGGGAAGCCCAGUCGACUGACCAGGAGUCGGCUGGUCUUUGCAGUAGAACCAAGUCGACUGCCACCCUCUAACUGAGUCGGGAAGGAUCAUAGCAGGGAAAGUGCUUUCCCCCCUCAUCUGGAUCCCUAGACCUCCACACAUCUGGAUCACGUGUGUCCUCUCAUCACUCGGAUUAGCCUUUUUUACAAACUGACAACGACAAGUGAAAUUGUGUUUGAAGAGGCCCCAGUGUGGUCGACAGCGCAGAAAGUUCUCACACAUGCACACGAAUGCAGCAAGGUAUGUCAUGGUGUUGAGAGAAAAGUGAUGGAGUUGGGAUCCCAAAAAUUUCAGAAAACCCCGGAAGAAAGGAUGGGGAGGCAAAGAGAAACCGCGGUCGACGUGAGUCGCAAGAAGGACACACUCACCCUCCUGCGACCGCGGCUCAGUCUCGUCCUCCGGAAGCCGCCAAGAACCGUGGGGGAUCAGUCCCCCCUUGACCAGAUCCUCCAGGUCCUCCUACUGGAUCGUCGACCGAAUCCGGUCGCCCUGGAUCCAGCCGGGCGGCAGGCCAGAUCUCGACGAAGGCCCUCCCCGGCUCGUCUUCUUCCCCUUCGCCUUCGUCAUUGCCUUCUUCGCGUGCUCCAGAGCCACCGUCUUCUCCUUCCCCAUCGCGGCGAGUUAAGCUCGGGCUGGGCCGCGGCACCGAGGAUGGAGGCGGAUGCAGUGGAGAAGCAGAGGAGGAAGGAAGAGAAUGGGGCGCACUGUGCAAAAAACACCAGCCCAGACGCCUUAUAUGGUCAUAUUCCCCGAGUGACUGACUCGUGGGCCCAGGCAAUCCUAUCAAAUCCUGCAACAGUCGCGCGCUCGAUACGUGGCGAAAAAGGUGGUGCGAGAAUCGAGGCGCUCCUCCCUAAUCCGCUUCGUUUACUGCGGCCCUCUCCGUCCCGCGGGCUUCCCCAAAUUUCGAAUCCCGUGAGAUCUGGGAACGGCAGCACUGUCAAUCGCGCCGAAGAUUUUAUGUCGUAUCAACAUUCGAAGCUUAUCAGCAAAGUUCACUCGACAACCUCUGAAUGGCUCAGGGCGGCUGAAAAUGAGGUCGAAGUUUUUGCAUGGUUCACCAAUCCAAGUAAAAUGCUUCCGAAGCAUGAAAAUUGAGUCAGAACCAUCUUCAACUUCAUCUCCACUCGGACCCAGAACCAUUCGGGGGCUAAUGACGAUGACAUGUAUCUAGGGUAGGGCAACAGACCUGAUCUAAGCACCCUUCCCAAGGACACUGCCUUACAGUCAAGGACAUUCAAAGGACAACAAAUUCUACCGACCGAAAUCACCACAGGAUGCAAUCCACUCGACCAUGGGUCCCACUCGGAUAACUCAAUUCCACUCGACCAAGAUAUAAUCAUUCGACCAUAUCAGAAAACACUCGGAGUACAGAAGAUCUAAGGUCACUCUGGAUGGCAACGGUCAGGCGUUCACUCCGUAGUCUUGAUGAUCAUUUAUGUACAUUGAACCCUGUGUAACUGAGGGCCGGAGGGGUCCGGCGAACUCUAUAUAAGCCACCCUCCUCCUCAGGCACAAGGGUUCGCACCCCCUGUAACUUCACGCAUAAUCCAAUCGACCGGCCUCAGGGCACCGAGACGUAUGGCUGUUACUUCCUCUGAGAAGGGCCUGAACUCGUAAACCUUGCGUGCACAACUUCACCAUAGCUAGGAUCUUGCCUCCUCAUAUCUACCCCCCAUUCUAAUGUCAGACUUAGAACCACGACAACUGCCAUGCCGCUUUACUUUGAAAGGUUCUGGGAUUAGAAAGGGUAGGGACACCAGGCGGCCUACAACAUCAUAUCAAGUUGGAGUCAAAUAAAAAGGGCUCUUAAUGUAGUCAAUCUUAAGAACAGCAUGUUAUGAGCAUGAAUAUUUUUUCAGUAAAUGUUGACAUUAAUAUAAGCAUGCCAUCAUGAUAUCAUAGGAAAGUAACAUACUGCUAUAACAGCCGUUUGUAGCGACGACUGGAGUAGGCCAGCAAUACGUCCAGCCAUAGAAGGUGUCGAUAGCGUAAAUGAAGUCCUUGUGUUCAAUGGCAUUAGAGAACCAUGGAGGAUGUAUGAUCCUGCGAUGGACGUGCAGAUUUAUCCACUUACAGCAGUGACCUGUCAGAUAGGCGAGAUCGCGGUUGAAGAACGCAAUUACCCUAAAGUCUUUAUAAUUCAUAGAUCUUGUGGGCACUUGGCAGAUUACAACCUUGAGCAAAUCAAACUUGGUGUCAUGUUGGCCAUUAUAAGAUUCCGAGUAUUCUGGGCCGCGGUGCCAAAGCAGUGGAGUGUUAAUCCAAGGAAGGGGGGUCAAUCACCGGGUGUAGACCUCCAGGAGAAUCCAGCUGCCGCGACCAUCGACGAGCACCAUCCAAGACGUGUUCAUGCCGACCCAGUACAUACCGUUAAUGUAGUUGAGCGUGACGGGGAUCGGAUCGCAGUCAAGGGGGUUGAUGCUCGCCACCCUACGAUCGUUAUGUUGCGUGACACGCUGUUUCUGAAGAUCAGGCGGCAUUAGCAAGCAAGGAGCUGGCUUAAAAAGCUUCGGUGUGAGGGCUUUGAGUAAACAGUACAGCCCCGACGAGCAUGCGGCGCGCGGCAUGGUACUGAGAUUGUCCACACGCGAAAUAAUGAGCUUGAUUACCUCUGUGGGGAGCGAAUUCCAGCCACUCUUUUGGCGGAUGCUGCUCGGUUCUGCCAUUGUUAGUGCUUGGGUUUCGGAUAAGGGGGGAGGCGCCUUAGCAGGGAUGGAAGAUUGGACGAGAUUGUGUGCGGACAAAGAUGGAGAAGCGAAUAUGUGCUGCGGGAAGUGGACAUGUGAUGAUGACUACAACACGCCACUUGACUUAAUUACGAGACACAUACCAGCAGCGUAGGGUCAUAUCGAUGCCAGACAACUUACUUGAGUGAUCAUAGUACUGGUACUCCCUACAGUUCCUACUACUAUGCCCUAACUUGCUUGAGUAGAGUAGUAGUGGAGUAGGACUGGAGGAGUAGUAUAUUCUAAUCUAAAAUAGUUACAAAGUUCAAUGCCCGAGCGUGGAACGACUACGAACCGCCAUCGGUGCUAACUCCAAUCCCCAUCAAACAUUCGCUAGGAGACAUGGCAGUUGCAAACGCCCGCGACGCAGUUACAGUACGUGUGUAAGGGUGGCAGUUUUGUCAAAUAGUAUGGCUUAAAAACAGGCCACCGUCGGAUUUCACGUGGGAUUUGCCAGGAUUGAGCUCGUGGCGAACAAUCGCUAGAUAUCAUUACUAAAAAAAGGUUAAAACACCCGGGGCUAUAACUUGCACCGGCUGACCACUAACAAUGAUACUAACAUAGUUGUAAAAUGGUCAAAGACCGUGUCUACGUGGUGUUUGGAAUUAUAUGCAGAAAAAUUAGCAAGAUGCUCGUGCAUUGCACGGAACAUCAAGAUGAUUUUUUUACAAAACACCUGUUGUGAUUGACCCAUGAAUGAGUAAUCCCAUGUGUAAAAACUAAUGAUAUCUUGAGAAUUUUAUCGAAAAAUGGUAUGUCGACCAUUUCAUCAAAAAAAUGAUAUCUCUAGAAAGAUGAUAUGUCGAACAUUUGCAAAAGAUACUUUUUUAUCUAUUUUACCCGGAUGUUUGUGGACUCUAGAUAUGAAAUAAUAUCUGAAGAAACCUAUCGAUACCUGUUACACAUGAGAUGACCCCCACAUCCUUUGUCAAAAUAAACAACUCCCCGAUCAAUGCAUUUCACUGUUCCGUGCAACGCACGGGCACCUUACUAUAGAUUAGUAUGACCAAAAAUUGAACUAACAUUAUAUAUAGUACGAUAAAUGCUGAUGCAUUUCACCUAAAAUUAUAUCACUGAAAACUAUGUUCAAAUACGAAUCCAACGAUAUGGUUUUUGUUGACAUGCACUAACAUUUUGUCAGUUAAAUCUUCAGUCAAAUUCAAUGGGGGACUAAUAAACCGCCACCGAUGUAGUACUAGUGUAGAGGGCGGCGCUGCACGCGAGUCUCACCCCGCUCGUGGCGCGGCAGUAAAGCCGUCAUAUCACAAAACCGAACCACUCCCAGUAAUAAGUGGCCUGGUAAAAUAAACGGACAAGCAACCAUCACAUCCCUCCGUCUUUUUUGCAUUUCAUCUCUCUGCAUUUACUUUCUCCGGUUCAUCUCGCACACUCGAUCCCUGAUACGUCCAUUUUGCAUCAUGCUUUUAUAUCGAUAUUUAUUGCAUUAUGGGCUGUUAUUACACAUUAUGUCACAAUACUUAUGGCUAUUCUCUCUUAUUUUACAAGGUUUACAUAAGGAGGGAGAAUGCCGGCAGCUGGAAUUCUGGGCUUGAAAAGGAGCAAAUAUUACAGACCUAUUCUGCACAACUCCAAAAGUCCUGAAACUCCACGGAAGUUAUUUUUGGAAAUAAUAAAAAAUACUGAGCGAAGAAAAUACCAGAGGGGAACCACACCCUGGGCACGAGGGUGGGGGCGUGCCCUACCCCCUGGGUGCGCCCCCUGCCUCGUGGGCCCCCUGGGGGCCCUCCGGUGCCCAUCUUCUGCUAUAUGAAGUCUUUCGUCCGAAGAAAAAUCAUAAGCAAGCUUUCGGGACGAGACUCCGCCGCCACGAGGCAGAACCUUGGCCGAACCAAUCUAGGGCUCUGGCGGAGCUGUUUUGCCGGGGACACUUCCCUCCGGGAGGGGGAAAUCAUCACCAUCGUCAUCACCAACGCUCCUCUCAUCGGGAGGGGGCCAAUAUCCAUCAACAUCUUCACCAGCACCAUCUCCUCUCAAACCCUAGUUCAUGUCUUGUAUCCAAUUCUUGUCUCUAAGUCUGAGAUUGGUACCUGUAGGUUGCUAGUAGUGUUGAUUACUCCUUGUAGUUGAUGCUAGUUGGUUUAUUUUGUGGAAGAUCAUAUGUUCAGAUCCUUUAUGAAUAUUAAUACCCCUCUGAUUAUGAACAUGAAUAUGCUUUGUGAGUAGUUAUGUUUCUUCCUGAGGACAUGGGAGAAGUCUUGCUAUUAGUAGUCAUGUGAAUUUGGUAUUCGUUCGAUAUUUUGAUGAGAUGUAUGUUGUCUUUCCUCUAGUGGUGUUAUGUCAACGUCGCCUACAUGACACUUCACCAUUAUUUGGGCCUAGAGGAAGGCAUUGGGAAGUAAUAAGUAGAUGAUGGGUUGCUAGAGUGACAGAAGUUUAAACCCUAGUUUAUGCGUUGCUUCGUAAGGGGCUGAUUUGGAUCCAUAUGUUUCAUGCUAUGGUUAGGUUUACCUUAAUACUUCUUUUGUAGUUGCGGAUGCUUGCAAUAGGGGUUAAUCAUAAGUGGGAUUCUUGUCCAAGAAAGGAAAGCACCCAAGCACCGGUCCACCCACAUAUCAAAUUAUCAAAGUACCGAACGCGAAUCAUAUGAACGUGAUGAAAACUAGCUUGACGAUAAUUCCCAUGUGUCCUCGGGAGCGCUUUUCUCUAUAUAAGAGUUUGUCCAGGCUUGUCCUUUGCUACAAAAAGGAUUGGGCAACCUUGCUGCACUUUAUUUACACUUGUUACUUGUUACCCGUUACAAAUUACCUUAUCACAAAACUAUCUGUUACCAAUAAUUUCAGUGCUUGCAUUGAAUACCUAACUGAAAACCGCUUGUCAUUUCCUUCUGCUCCUCGUUGGGUUCGACACUCUUACUUAUUGAAAGGACUACGAUAGAUCCCUUGUACUUGUGGGUCAUCAAGACUAUUUUCUGGCGCCCUUGCUGGGGAGUGAAGCGCCUUUGGUAGGUGGAAUUUGGUAAGGAAAAAUUUAUAUAGUGUGCUGAAAUUUACUGUUACUUGUUACUAUGGAAAGUAAUCCUCUGAGGGGCUUGUUCGGGGUAUCUUCACCCCGACCAGUAGAGCAAAGAGUUGCUCCUCAACCUACUGAAAAUGAAAAUGUCUACUUUGAAAUUCCUUCAGGUAUGAUAGAAAAACUGCUAGCUAAUCCUUUUGCAGGAGACGGAACAUUACAUCCUGAUGAGCACCUAAUCUAUGUGGAUGAAGUUUGUGGAUUAUUUAAGCUUGCAGGUAUGCCCGAUGAUGUUAUCAAGAAGAAGGUCUUCCCUCUAUCUUUGAAGGGAGAUGCAUUGACAUGGUAUAGGCUAUGUGAUGAUAUGGGAUCAUGGAACUACAAACGAUUGAAAUUGGAAUUUCAUCAGAGGUUUUAUCCUAUGCAUCUUGUUCAUCGUGACCGUAAUUAUAUAUAUAGUUUUUGGCAUCGCGAAGGAGAAAGCAUUGCUCAAGCUUGGGGGAGGCUUAAGUCGAUGUUAUAUUCAUGCCCCAAUCAUGAGCUCUCAAGAGAAAUGAUUAUUCAAAAAAUUUAUGCUCGGCUUUCUGACAACAAUCGCACCAUGCUCGAUACUUCUUGUACUGGUUCUUUUAUGAUGAAGACUAUUGAAUUCAAAUGGAAUUUAUUGGAAAGAAUUAAACGCAACUCUGAAGAUUGGGACCGCGACGAAGGUAAGGAGUCAGGUAUAACACCUAAGUUUGAUUGUGUUAAAUCUUUUAUGGAUACCGAUGUUUUCCGUAAGUUUAGCACUAAAUAUGGACUUGACUCUGAGAAGUGGUUUAAAUAUCAUCCUCCCAUAGAAAUAAAAGUAGCUGCACCUAUUAAAGUUGAAGAAAAGACUAUCACUUAUAAUGAUCCUAUUGUUCCUACUGCUUAUGUUGAGAAACCACCUUUCCCUGUUAGAAUAAAGGAUCAUGUUAAAACUUCAACUGUGGUUCGUAAAAGCAAUAUUAGAACUUAUACACCUCCUGAGCAAGUUAAAGUUGAACCUAAUAUUGCUAUUGUUAAAGAUCUCUUGGCUGAUAAUAUUGAUGGGCAUGUUAUUUAUUUCUGUGAUGAGGCUGCUAGAAUUACUAAACCUAGUGCUAAAGAUAAACCAUAGACCUGUGGUAGGCAUGCAUGUUAUUUCUGUUAAAAUAGGAGAUCAUUGUUAUCAUGGCUUAUGUGACAUGGGUGCUAGUGCUAGUGCAAUACCUAUUGACUUAUACAAAGAAAUUAUGCAUGAUAUUGCACCUACUGAGUUGGAAGAAAUUGAUGUUACCAUUAAGCUUGCCAAUAGAUAUACUAUAUCACCAAUUGGAAUAGUUAGAGAUGUUGAAGUCUUGUGUGGGAAAACUAAAUAUCCUGCUAAUUUUCUUGUUCUUGGUUCCCCACAAGAUAGCUUUUGUCCCAUUAUAUUUAGUAGACCCUUCUUAAACACUGUUAAUGCUAAGAUAGACUGCGAAAAGGAUGUUGUUACCAUUGGUCUAGGUGAUAUGUCUCAUGAAUUUAACUUUUCUAAAUUUCGUAAACACCGUGAAGAGGAAUUGCCUAGUAAGGAUGAAAUUAUUGGUCUUGCUUCUAUUGCCAUACCUCCUAGUGAUCCUUUAGAACAAUAUUUGCUAGACCAUGAAAAUGAUAUGUUUAUGAAUGAAAGAAGGGAAAUAGAUGAAGUGUUCUUUAAACAGGGUCCUAUUCUGAAACACAAUUUUCCUGUUGAAAUCCUAGGGGAUCCUCCUCCACCCAAGGGUGGUCCCAUGUUUGAGCUUAAACCAUUGCCUGAUACCCUUAAAUAUGAUUAUCUUGAUGAAAAGAAGAUAUAUCCUGUUAUUAUUAGUGCUAACCUUUCAGAGAAGGAGGAAGAAAAAUUAUUCAAAACUCUGAAGAAGCACCAUGCUGCUAUUGGAUAUACUCUUGAUGAUCUUAAGGGCAUUAGUCCCACUCUAUGCCAACACAAAAUAAAUUUGGAGAAAGAUGCCAAACCAGUUAUUGAUCACCAACGACGGCUGAAUCCUAAGAUGAAAGAAGUGGUAAGAAAGGAAAUACUAGAGCUCCUUGAGGUAGGUAUAAUCUAUCCCGUUGCUGAUAGUCAGUGGGUAAGUCCUGUCCAUUGUGUCCCUAAGAAGGGAGGUAUUACUGUCGUUCCUAAUGAUAAAGAUGAAUUGAUUCCACAAAGAAUUAUUACAGCUUAUAGGAUGGUAAUUGAUUUCCGCAAAUUAAAUAAAGCUACUAAAAAUAUCAUUACCCCUUACCUUUUAUUGAUCAAAUGCUAGAAGGAUUAUCCAAACAUACACAUUUUUGCUUUCUAGAUGGUUAUUCUGGUUUCUCUCAAAUACCUGUGUCAGCUGAUGAUCAAGCUAAGACCACUUUUACUUGCCCUUUCGGUACUUUUGCUUAUAGAUGUAUGCCUUUUGGUUUAUGUAAUGCACCUGCUACCUUUCAAAGAUGCAUGAUGGCUAUAUUCUCUGACUUUUGUGAAAAGAUUUGUGAGGUUUUCAUGGACGAUUUCUCCGUUUAUGGAUCCUCUUUUGAUGAUUUCUUGAGCAACCUUGAUCGAGUUUUGCAGAGAUGUGAAGAAACUAAUCUUGUCUUGAAUUGGGAAAAGUGCCACCUUAUGGUUCAUGAAGGCAUUGUCUUGGGACAUAAAAUUUCUGAAAGAGGCAUUGAAGUUGAUAAAGCUAAAGUUGAUGCUAUUGAAAAGAUGCCAUGUCCCAAGGACAUCAAAGGUAUAAGAAGUUUUCUUGGUCGUGCCGGUUUUUUAUAGGAGGUUCAUUAAGGACUUCUCAAAAAUUUCUCGGCCUCUGACUAAUCUAUUACAAAAGGAUAUACCAUUUGUCUUUGAUGAUGAUUGUGUAGAAGCAUUCGAAAUACUUAAGAAAGCCUUGAUUUCUGCACCUAUUGUUCAGCCACCUAAUUGGAAUUUACCCUUUGAAAUUAUGUGUGAUGCUAGUGAUUAUGCUGUAGGUGCUGUUCUAGGGCAAAGAGUUGAUAAGAAAUUAAAUGUUAUUCAAUAUGCUAGUAAAACUCUAGACAGUGCUCAGAGAAAUUUGCUACUACUAAAAAAGAAUUCUUAGCAGUUGUAUUUGCUUGUGAUAAGUUCAGACCUUAUAUUGUUGAUUCUAAAGUAACUAUUCACACGGAUCAUGUUGCUAUUAAAUAUCUUAUGGAAAAGAAAGAUGCUAAACCUAGACUUAUUAGAUGGGUUCACUUGUUACAAGAAUUUGAUUUACAUAUUAUUGAUAGAAAGGGAGCCGAGAACCUCGUUGCAGACAACUUGUCUAGGUUAGAAAAUGUUCUUGAUGACCCACUACCUAUUGAUGAUAGCUUUCCUGAUGAACAAUUAAAUGUCAUAAAUGCUUCUCGUACUGCUCCAUGGUAUGCUGAUUAUGCUAAUUACAUUGUUGCUAAAUUUAUACCACCUAGUUUCACAUACCAGCAAAAGAAAAAGUUUUUCUAUGAUUUAAGACAUUACUUCUGGGAUGACCCACAUCUUUAUAAAGAAGGAGUAGAUGGUGUUAUCAGACGUUGUGUACCUGAGCAUGAACAGGAACAGAUCCUACGCAAGUGUCGCUCUGAGGCUUAUGGAGGACACCACGGUGGAGAUAGAACUGCACAUAAGGUAUUGCAAUCCGGUUUUUAUUGGCCUACUCUCUUCAAGGAUGCCCGUAAGUUUGUCUUAUCUUGUGAUGAAUGUCAAAGAAUUGGUAAUAUUAGUAGACGUCAAGAAAUGCCUAUGAAUUAUUCACUUGUUAUUGAACCAUUUGAUGUUUGGGGCUUUGAUUAUAUGGGACCGUUUCCUGCCUAUAAUGGGUAUACUCAUAUUUUAGUUGCUGUUGAUUACGUUACUAAGUGGGUAGCUAUUCCAACUAGUAGUGCUGAUCAUAACACUUCUAUUAAGAUGCUUAAAGAAGUUAUUUUUCCGAGGUUUGGAGUCCCUAGAUAUUUAAUGACUGAUGGUGGUUCACAUUUUAUUCAUGGUGCUUUUCGUAAAAUGCUUGCUAAGUAUGAUGUUAAUCAUAGAAUUGCAUCUCCUUAUCACCCACAGUCUAGUGGUCAAGUAGAAUUGAGUAAUGGAGAGCUCAAAUUAAUUUUGCAAAAGACUGUUAAUAGAUCUAGAAAGAAUUGGUCCAAGAAACUUGAUGAUGCAUUAUGGGCCUAUAGAACUGCAUAUAAAAAUCCUAUGGGUAUGUCUCCGUAUAAAAUGGUUCAUGUCACUUACCUCUCGAACUAGAACAUAAGGCAUAUUGGGCUAUUAAAGAACUCAAUUAUGAUUUCAAACUUGCCGGUGAGAAGAUGUUAUUUGACAUUAGCUCACUUGAUGAAUGGAGAACUCAGGCCUAUGAGAAUGCCAAGUUGUUUAAAGAAAAAGUUAAAAGAUGGCAUGACAAAAGGAUACAAAAGCGUGAGUUUAAUGUAGGUGAUUAUGUAUUGCUAUACAACUCUUGUUUAAGAUUUUUUGCAGGAAAACUUCUCUCUAAAUGGGAAGGUCCUUACGUUAUCGAGGAGGUCUAUCGUUCCGGUGCCAUAAAAAUCAACAACUUCGAAGGCACAAAUCCGAAGGUGGUGAAUGGUCAAAGAAUCAAACAUUAUAUCUCAGGUAAUCCUAUAAAUGUUGAAACUAAUGUUAUCGAAACCGUAACACCGGAGGAAUACAUAAGAGACACUUUCCAAAAUGUUUCAGACUCCGAAAAGGAAUAGGUAUGUGGUACAUUAAGUAAACCGACUCCAAAACAGUUCCAAUGGCAAUUUUUCUCCAUUUUGGAAUAUUUAGAAAAAUAGAAAAAUAAGAAGCAGUACGGGAAGGAACGAGGCCUCCACGAGGGUGGAGGGCACGCCCUACCCCCUGGGCGCGCCCCCUGCCUCGUGGGCACCUCGUGCGCUCUCCGAACUCCGUUUUCUUGCGUGAUACAUAUUUUGGUCGGUAAAAAUUCAUUAUAUAAUCUCCCGAAGGUUUUGACCACCGUAUCACGCAAAUAUCCUCUGUCUUUGUUUUGUGCUAUCUCUACCGCAGAUUAGAGCAAGAUGGCAUCUCUGGAUUCCGACAGAGAGAGCUAUGUCUCACACCUAAUUGCUGACCCAAAGACCUAUGGGGAUCUAUCUCCUUGUGGUCGAACUAUGGAUGAGGAGGAGGAUGCUCAUUCGAUGAGGAUCAACGAUUCAAGUUCGGAGGAGGAAGAUAUCCCUCUACCUCAACUUGGGGAUAUGCAUGUGAGUCUCCCUAUGAGAGCUAAACUGUCUAACAACUGAUCUAUCCUUUCUCGUUUUCAGCAGAAAAGCAAAGUAGAUUUAUGUGACAAAAUUUUGAAGCUGGAAUCGGAGAUUGAUGAUUUACAGGAGGAAAUUGCUCUUCUCAAUUACAAUAUGAAAAAGUUGAAGGCACAAUUAUCAUCAUCACCACCAUCUUCCUCACCACCGGCAAAGGAGACAUAAUUAUAUGGGUAUGGGCACUCCCCUUUGCAACUGCCAAGCUUGGGGGAGGUGCCCCGGUAUCGUAUCACCAUCACACUCCUAUCUUUACCAUUUUUCUUAGUUCGAUCCUUUUAGUAAUAUCUUCAUCUAGUAGAAUAAAGUUUUUCGUAUGAUCUAGUUUUGAGUUUUGCUUUAUGAACCCUUUAUGUAAUCGAGUCUGUGAGCUAUAUAAUAAAGAUUAGUCUCGAGUCCGUGAGCUAUAUAAUAAGGAUUAGUGUUGAGUCAGGGGCUUGAUUAUCUUGCUAUGAUCUUGAGGGAAUAAAAGAAAAGAGAAAAGAAUAAAAAGAAACGAAGAGAUCAUAUUGAUCUUAUGGAGAGUAAUGACUUCACAUAGAAAGAGUAUGAUGAUUAAAAGUUGUUGAGAGUUGACAAACAUAGCUUUGGUCAUUGUUGCAAUUAAUAGGAAGUAAUAAAGAAAGAGAGGUUUCACAUAUAAAUAUACUAUCUUGGACAUCUUUUAUGAUUGUGAGCACUCAUUAAAAUAUGACAUGCUAAAGAGUUGAUGUUGGACAAGGAAGACAACGUAAUGGGUUAUGUUUUCUUAUAUCUGAGAUAAAGUAUAUUGUCAUGGAUCAUCCAACAUGUUGAGCUUUCCUCUCUCCCUCAUGCUAGCCAAAUUCUUUGCACCAGGUAGAGAUACUACUUGUGCUUCCAAAUACCCUUAAACCAGUUUUGCCAUGAGAGUCCACCAUAUCUACCUAUGGAUUGAGUAAGAUCCUUCAAGUAAGUUGUCAUCGGUGCAAGCAAUAAAAAAAUUGCUCUCAAAAUAUGUAUGACUUAUUAGUGUGGGAGAAAAUAAGCUUUAUACGAUCUUGUGAUGUGGAAGAAAUAAAAGCGACGGACUGCAUAAUAAAGGUCCAUAUCACAAUUGGCAAUAUAAAGUGACGUUCUUUUGCAUUAAGAUUUCGUGCAUCCAACCAUGAAAGCGCAUGAAAACCUUUGCUUCCCUCUGCGAAGGGCCUAUCUUUUACUUUUAUCUUCUACCUUAUGCAAGAGUCAUGGUGAUUUUCACCUUUCCUUUUUACAUUUUAUCCUUUGGCAAGCACAGUGUGUUGGAAAGAUCCUNNNNNNNNNNNNNNNNNNNNNNNNNNNNNNNNNNNNNNNNNNNNNNNNNNNNNNNNNNNNNNNNNNNNNNNNNNNNNNNNNNNNNNNNNNNNNNNNNNNNNNNNNNNNNNNNNNNNNNNNNNNNNNNNNNNNNNNNNNNNNNNNNNNNNNNNNNNNNNNNNNNNNNNNNNNNNNNNNNNNNNNNNNNNNNNNNNNNNNNNNNNNNNNNNNNNNNNNNNNNNNNNNNNNNNNNNNNNNNNNNNNNNNNNNNNNNNNNNNNNNNNNNNNNNNNNNNNNNNNNNNNNNNNNAUAUAUAUAUCUAAUUGGAUGUAAGUUAGCAUGAACUAUUAUUGUUGACAUUACCCUUGAGGUAAAAGGUUGGGAGGCGAAACUAUAAGCCCCUAUCUUUCUCUGUGUCCGAUUAAAACUCCGUAACCACAAGUAUUGCGUGAGUGUUAGCAAUUGUGAAAGACUAAAUGAUAGUUGAGUAUGUGGACUUGCUGAAAAGCUCUGACAUAGACUCUUUUCGAUGUUAUGAUAAAUUGCAAUUGCUUCAAUGACUGAGAUUAUAGUUUGCUAGUUCUCAAUAAAGUUUCUGAUUCAUAAUUGACAUUGUGAAUAGAUUAUUACUUGAGCAUAAGAAAUCAUAUGACAAUAUCCAUAUAUGUUGCUGUUAUAAGAAUGAUCAUGAUGCCCUCAUGUCCGUAUUUUAUUUUAUCGACACCUCUACCUCUAAAAAUGUGGACAUAUUUAUUGUUAUCGGCUUCCGCUUGAGGACAAGCAAGGUCUAAGCUUGGGGGAGUUGAUACGUCCAUUUUGCAUCAUGCUUUUAUAUCGAUAUUUAUUGCAUUAUGGGCUAUUAUUACACAUUAUGUCACAAUACUUAUGCCUAUUAUCUCUUAUUUUACAAGGUUUACAUAAGGAGGGAGAAUGCCGACAGCUGGAAUUCUGGGCUGGAAAAGGAGCAAAUAUUAGAGACCUAUUCUGCACAACUCCAAAAGUCCUGAAAAUCCACGGAGGUUAUUUUUGGAAAAAAUAAAAAAUACUGAGCGAAGAAAAUACCAGAGGGGACCCACACCCUGGGCACAAGGGUGGGGGGCGCCCCCUACCCCCCUGGGUGCGCCCCUGCCUCAUGGGCCCCCUGGUGGCCCUCCGGUGCCCAUCUUCUGCUAUAUGAAGUCUUUCGUCCGAAGAAAAAUCAUAAGCAAGCUUUUGGGGAUGAGACUCCGCCGCCACGAGGCGGAACCUUGGCGGAACCAAUCUAGGGCUCUGGCGGAGCUGUUUUGCCGGGGACACUUCCCUCUGGGAGGGGAAAAUCAUCACCAUCGUCAUCACCAACGCUCCUCUCAUCGGGAGGGGGCCAAUCUCCAUCAACAUGUUCACCAGCACCAUCUCCUCUAAAACCCUAGUUCAUCUCUUGUAUCCAAUUCUUGUCUCUAAGUCUGAGAUUGGUACCUGUAGGUUGCUAGUAGUGUUGAUUACUCCUUGUAGUUGAUGCUAGUUGGUUUAUUUGGUGGAAGAUCAUAUGUUCAGAUCCUUUAUGCAUAUUAAUACCCCUCUGAUUAUGAACAUGAAUAUGCUUUGUGAGUAGUUACGUUUGUUCCUGAGGACAUGGGAGAAGUCUUGCUAUUAGUAGUCAUGUGAAUUUGGUAUUCGUUCGAUAUUUUGAUGAGAUGUAUGUUGUCUUUCCUCUAGUGGUGUUAUGUCAACGUCGACUACAUGACACUUCACCAUUAUUUGGGCCUAGAGGAAGGCAUUGGGAAGUAAUAAGUAGAUGAUGGGUUGCUAGAGUGACAGAAGUUUAAACCCUAGUUUAUGCGUUGCUUCGUAAGGGGCUGAUUUGGAUCCAUAUGUUUCAUGCUAUGGUUAGGUUUACCUUAAUACUUCUUUUGUAGUUGUGGAUGCUUGCAAUAGGGGUUAAUCAUAAGUGGGAUGCUUGUCCAACAAAGGACAGCACCCAAGCACCGGUCCACCCACAUAUCAAAUUAUCAAAGUACCGAACGCGAAUCAUAUGAACGUGAUGAAAACUAGCUUGACGAUAAUUCCCAUGUGUCCUCGGGAGCGCUUUUCUCUAUAUAAGAGUUUGUCCAGGCUUGUCGUUUGCUACAAAAAGGAUUGGGCCACCUUGCUGCACUUUAUUUACACUUGUUACUUGUUACAAAUUACCUUAUCACAAAAUUAUCUGUUACUGAUAAUUUCAGUGCUUGCAGAGAAUACCUUACCGAAAACCGCUUGUCAUUUCCUUCUGCUCCUCGUUGGGUUCGACACUCUUACUUAUCGAAAGGACUACGAUAGAUCCCUUAUACUUGUGGGACAUCAAUCCCUAGCUACUACUCCUAGUAUCCCUAGCUACUACUCCUAGGGCCAGUUCUUUUGGCGGCUUAAAAAAUAAGUCGUCUCUUCCCCGGCUUUUCCCAUAAGACUACUCACAGUGGAGAGUAACAUUAAGGCCCUGUUUGGUUCAUAAGUCCUAGGACUUUUUCUAGUCCCAACAAACACCCCCUAAGGCGCGUCACUCAUUUAUUUGGGCCUCUAAACUACUACUAGUACCUUCGUCCUGGUUUAUUCGUCACCAUUGUAAUUUGUGCUAAAUUUUGACCAAAGAUUUAACUGAUAAAAUGUUAGUGCAUGUGACAUGCACUAACAUUUCAUUAGUUAAAUUUAUGAUCAAAAUUUGACACAGGUUACAAUGGGGACCAAUAAACCAGGACGGAGGUAGUAGUUAUGGGAUUACUAAUCUAGAAGCCUAAAAUAACUGGCCCCUGGUACUCCUACUAGUAGUAGUACUCAAGUUGGAAUUCCAAUUGCACGGCACAACUUGUUUGGCAAAAAAUUCGAUACAGGGUGUAGGAAGCGGUUUGGGAAUUUGCAUGCCUUUCCGACCAGUGUGAUACUCCAUACAAAGUAUGACAAAGAAAUAACCACAGGGAUGGAAGCUAAAAGUAAACAAUCAAACGAGCAUUUUUGCAUUUGUUUUGCAUUGAUUCGUUUCACAAGCUUGACUAGUGUUGUUUUUCUACUUUUACAAAAACCGCAUCGUAAUGUUAAAACGUGCAUUUGCACGUACAUAAGUAAUAGUAGUACUCCCUCCGCCCAGGUGUAUAAGUCUUCCCUCCUUCUUGGUCACGGUGCACAACCAAAGAUGACUUAUUCACCUGGACGGAGGGAGUAGCACAGUCUGCAAGCAUAUAUAGAGAGAGACGUGUAGUGCGAUAGUAUAUAGGAGUAGUAAAGUUUGUGCUAUAUUCACGUACUUACAAAAUGCUUACGGAUACAUAAGGUUUCCAAACUUUCCCUUUUACAUACUUAAUUAAGGACGCUGAUAAUUCCUGAACGUUCGGGAUUUAUCAUUUGUGUCCCAAAACUAAUGAGGUCGCCUUACGAAACUAAGUUAUACUCCUACUAAAGGCCACGUCGCUCGCAGGAGCGCUUGCGGUGCGCCACGAGUGCCCUGGUGUGCGGCCAUUUCCCAGCGCGCCGACACAACGCCUCUUCCUCAGCCUCGACCCUCGCGAGGUGCUGAUUGGCGGCUUGCCGGCGGGCGAGCGCGAUCUCACCGGUGUGGUGAUCCGGCGCCAACAGGUACUCCUCCUCGCUGGAAGCGUGCACCCGGUCCAUGUACUGCCAAGCGUAGAUGAGGCGCUUGGGCCAGACUGCACUCAAUGCUUUGGCACGGGCAUCCUCUGCCACCCUCACGGCCCUCGCACGAGCCUUCUGCCAAAGAGCCAAUUGCCUGACUCUCUCGGACGCGACAUAGGCCUGCCAGGCAGCUUGUCCCGCGGCGCGCUUCUCUUCCUCGGCCUUCUUGUCCACCUCUAUUUUGGCGCGCUCUGCCGGAGACAAAGCCUCCCACAAGGCGACAUCCAUUUCUUUCCAAAUCUCCUCAAGGCUGGGCGGCUCGGCGGGCGGCGCGGCGUUCUCCUGGUAGCAGGGAGCAGAAGCGUCCUCCGACGCGUGCUGGCAAGAUUGGGAACACCGACGCGUCCACCUCGAUGCGUCACGGCGAGGAGCGGAACGCCGACGCGUCCUCCUCGACUAGUGGCAGCGAGGAACGGAACGGCGAUGCGUGACCAUCCAUGCAGUGCAGCGAGGGGCGCCUAGGGCUUGGGAGGGGCGAUGCCAUGGUGGUCGACGUGAGAGGGAGGGGGAGGAGAUAGCGAUGAACGUGAGCGUUCUUCCGAAUGCCGUGGGAGGCGCAAUAUUUAUUGCGAGCAAUGGCACACCUACGUAAGAUAUGGACUGAGCUGCACUAACUUAACUUCAGGUCCAGUUGCGUCACUGACAUGUGGGCCAGGCCCCUGUUGGGCCCAUAUGUCAGUGACCCAAUGCACCUGCAGUUAAGUAACUGAAGCAGCGUCCCGUAAGAUAUGUUGCGUGAUUAACGUAACAGCUACAUGGGCAUAUUUGUUGGAGUAAAUUACGGGGGAGGGAAGGGGUGGAAAUAUUGUUGGUCACAACGGAUUAGACAAGCGCGGGGGGAGGAGAGUCAUGCAUGCAGAUUUUUUCCACACGGGGUGGACUGGUGGGACCGCCGGAGGGAGAAAGAGAGUCAAGCAGGCAUAUUGUUUUCACACAUGGAGAGGAAAAGAUUUGGAGACAAACGGGCUUCCUGCAGGUAUGGAGAACGGUGCAUAAUAAGUCAUCUUGCUUGUAGGGCUAGGUAUAGUCUCAAGUCAUUAAAAACAUACACGCCCCACACAUGUUCAUAUUUCAAGGUGCACUAAAUUAUUGCAUGCGAUGAUUAAGGCUGGCCAUAAUGGUGGUAUCUUAGCUGGUAUCAUGCACACGGGAAUAGCAAACAUGCUGAUGUGGCAAAGAAUUAAAGAAGAGAGGGGGGUUAGAGUAACUAGUGUUCAUGCAUGCAUGCAAUGCGAAGCAUUGGAAAAUACAUUUUUGUGAAGAACGACAUCAUUAGUUGAGUACUUUUGCAUACUACAAAAACUAUUCUACCGCCUCUAUCUUGGUAAGAGUAGGUGAAAAUUUUGAAUCGAGCCCUUUAAAGUAGAAGGGAGGUAGUAGUACUCUAAUAGCUAACCUUGUUGUGAUGACUAGAUAGGACAUGGCACGCACCUAGACGGAGGAACUAGUCUGCAUUGGGCAUUUAAGUUUUGUCUGAAGUCAAUGUACCUCUACUUUGACCAAACUUAUAGAAAAAUGUAUCAACAUUCAAAAUGUCAAAUCAAUAUUUUUAUACUCAUUAUGAAACGUAGUUCUGAUACUCAUUAUAAUCAGUAUUGUAGAUAUUGAUAUUUUUAGUAUAAAUUUGGUCAAACACUUUGCAAACGGUUGACGGAAGUAAAAAGGACCAGAGGGAGUAUGAUGCAUGCGGACUAGGCAAAAAAAUUGCUCAUUUAUAGCCGGUCGAAGUCUCAAAGGGCGCGACCUUGCGAGGGAGGCGAAGGUCGUGGGAGGCGCGACGGUUGACGGAAUUAAGUGAAGUUACAUCCACGCGCCGGCAUGGCGUGCGAACAGGCAGAAGCUAUAUCGUCAGGCCUACGAUAUGGGUCUAGUAGACAUGACAUCUAAUGGGUCCCGCAUAGUACUCGAGAACUCUUUGGGGGCUUGCAGCCGUUUAUCCACCGGGCAAGCCAACAACCCCACGCCGUUCGCACGCCCUACUCGUCCCCGUCUUCUACUACUACCUUACAAUAGUUCGCUCCCAGUCGUCCCGUCCUUUCACAUUACACCAGUUCAACUUCUCCUAACCCUCCUCCAAAAUCGAUGGCCUCCCAAAUCUCCAUGGUCGCCGCUGAGUACCAGGUUAGAGCCAUCACCGGCGAUGAGUUCAUCGUCAUCUACACAAGUGGAUCCAUGUGACAGCCUGGAUUUUGCCUUCUCUCUUUUUCCGGACUUGGUUUUCUUUUUGCCUUGGAUUUGGAUUUUUGGAUCAAUUCAACUGGACUUAUCACUUGGGCAUGCCCUUGACUUUCACCCAAGUGACCUAUCUACUUCUCAUUCAAUCUUAUUUCUCUGAACAAUCCCCAAAAUAAUCAAAUGAAUAUUUUUCAUAAAAGAAAAAUAUUCAUUUUCUCUUUUGAAACUUAUUUUAGAAACUAGUGCUCAAAAGCAACCCCCAUUUUUAUUGCUCCCAAAAUUCUGAAAUAAUUCCUGAAUAUUUUUUGAACCAUGGCCCACCUUCCCAAGCAAAAAUAUUGCAUGACUUUUUGUAAUAUUUUUGCUACAGAAAAUAAUUUCUCUUCUGGUCCAAAAUUUCACAUUGUACAACAAGUGUAUUUUUCCUUGAUCCUUUGGCCCUGGUUCUUCUUGAGCCUCUUCACCCUCCUAAGGAAAACCUUAACCCCAGGAGAUCGGCCCUAAUGGCCAUCUAGAAGCUAUCCAAACAUAGCAGCCAAGUUUCUAUCCAGAAACUUGCCAAGAUGGUUGAGUCACAUCUGGUCGACCUGGCGAUGAGUCCUCAGCUUCCCUAGACCUAUCACUUCAUGGACUUUAGCCCAGACAAGGUUUGGCCGGUCGUGGGCGUCAUUUUGACCAUGCCAGGGUGGUGACCGCGUGUGGACACAGGGUCUGGCAUGUGCUCGACGCGCUCUGAGUAGCGCCAACACCUCUGUUCGGCGCGUGCUCGAGCCAGAGCUCGCCGACAACUGCCGCGCCACGCCACCAGCCUCGACUCAUCACCAUUGGCCCCUCCCUGGUGCUCGCAGACGUCGGAGAUGCCGCAGCGAGCAUAGGCACGUCAUGGCCAAAAGUCAUAGUCCGCUCGUGCCUUGUCUUCUUCUCCCUGCCUCCUGUGCUCGUCCGCGAGCGUGGACAGCCCCCGCGUACACACUGAGCCCUUGCCCCCUCUCACUGGUGCCUUUCAUCGCCGUUCGCCGGUCUCCAGAGAACUCCGGCGGCGCCACGUAUCCCCCUCUCGCUCCGGCUAUAUAUAGAGCCAUUCCCUCCACUUCGAAGCCUCACACCGCACCACACAACCACCACGACCUCGUAGAAGAGCCGUAGCCCGGUCGGGCGGGGCUCUGGCCGCCGACCUCGACCAGAGAUCGCCGCCGAUCCCCGCAGCCCAACCACCCUACUCCAGAGCCCCUCGAGCUCAAUCAACCUCUCAGGAGCGUCGUUAGGGAUCCUCUGUUGUCGCCUGGACGCAGCUGAGCCCCUGGAGUCGCCUCUCGCCGUCGCCUUCUUCCUCUCCGGCAAGCCCGGUCCGCCACCGCCGCUUGCGAGCUUGAUUGCGAGCAACUCUGGCCAUCCCCCGGCAAGCCACGGUACGGGAAGGUGCGCCACGACCCCCUCUCCACUUCUAUCCCUCUAGUUUUUCCCAAGACCCACUCGUCGCCGGCGUAAGCUCCAGUGGAGUGCCGCCACGCUCUGUUUCCCUCUCUCCCCCUCUCUCUCCUGUCCGGUGGGGCCUGGUGUCAGCCUAUCCCCUUACACCCGAAGCGGUACGAGUGGAGGCGUCUCCUGGCUUUACGCCAUCGACAUCACCCCCUCCCCCAGCUUUUCUGAUUUAUUCAAAUUAAUUCAAAUAUUUGACCACAACUUUGACCAGUGAUAACUCCUAGCCCAUAAGUCCAAAUGAGUUGAUUCUUUUUGCAUUGUGUUUGUUUCAAAAAGCUCUAGCAGCACACCAAAAUGUGGAAUUUUCCUUGCUGUCUAGAAUUUCUGGUGAUUUUAGAAUGGUUUUUGAUAUUAUUUUUUGUGGUUUUUAAAUAUUUUCAGAAGAAGGAACUUGCCUUGAAGAUAACCAGGAGGAGUGUGACCCUCCUCAGCACUAAGGCAAGCCACACCAGCAUUUGGAUGGUGUCAUUUCAAUAUCUAUGAUCUUCCUACUUAAAUAUGAGUUCUUAUAUGCAUUUAAAAAACAUUUGUUAAAUAAAUAUGGUUGCUUGCUAGUUACUUUGUCAUGCUUGAAAUGAUUGUUUAAGUUACUGGUUGAAUGCAUGGACUAGUUUAAUCUAGUAAAAUAAAUUUUGCCUUAGUUAUAUUGCUUUGAUAAAUAUUGAUAGUUCUUUUUGUUAAGUGCUACUUUCAUAUCAAUUAUGAGUUAAUAAAAAUAUUGCAUGAUAAUGAAAAUGAGGUAGAACCUGUAAAGUUUAAUCAUGAGCAGUGCAAGCAAGUUAUGUUGAUAAGUUUGAUCCGUACAUGGGAGUUGCAUGCUUUGCAUGACGAUUAGUUGCACGAUCAUGGCAUCCUAUGACUUGGUAGAUUAAUUUUUAUUUUCAAGUUAAACAUGUUAAUAAGUUCAACUUGAAUAUGACGUUGAUCAAGUCAUGGUGCCACUGAAUCGGGUUUUUCUCAGUGCGACCACAUUUACCUUGUGGGAGGUCUUGAUUCGGUCCUUUGUUGUGCCUCUCGCCGGUGCCUCCAACGAGGGAAGGUUAUGGGCGUGCAUAUCCUGGCCCGGUAAGCAGACAUGGCCUUGUGUGCCUGUUUGUUUUUAUGGUACCUUGUCCCCGUUUGGGGUUGUUUUGCCACGACAGUGGCCGUUGGCGUCUUUGGUAGACACGAGCCCACCCAGGACAUAGCCCUGAGAGGGAGUUUGUCGGAGUGGCCGGGAGAGUGUCAUGACAAGGGGAGGGUUUUGUCGGAAUGUCGUUGGUCCACCUGAAUGGGAGUGCGAGGCCUCGGAUUCUGUGGUGUGGGUAAAGUGCGCUACCUCUGCAGAGUGUAUUAAAUCUACCGAUAGCCGCGUCCUCGGUUAUGGGCACAACUCGGGAGUAAGUCACACCAUGGAUCAACUUUUAUAAUUAAUCUUGGACACUAAAUAACUGUUGAUGGCACUGACAUCGUGAUGAUUUCGGAGAUCAUGAGCUGAUCAUGAGUGAUUGGUUUCAGUUGUGAUCCGGGUACGAUCACCGUUUGGUUACGAGGUAACCCGUCUGGUAAGCGAGUCCGUGGGACUCGGUGCACAUGUUGGUUUCACCGCAUUAGUAGCAUUACUUGCAUUGCAUUAACCUGAUUAAUUGUCAUGAUAUUGUUUGUCAUUAUGCUUAUGUUUGUUGCGAGCUAGCAAGUACAUUCAAUGUACUGACCUGGUGUGUCAUGCCAGCUUUCAAGCAAGUCGUUUCGCAAUCGGAGAGCUUCCAGCGUCUAGGACGUGUCCACGUCGGUGUCCCUGUGCUAUGGAGUUCCACUUCGUCGUUCUUCCGCUGCCGCGUAGUUCGUGUGAUCGAGGCCCUUCAUGUUCAUUAAAUAAAGUACAUAUUGUUCAGCCGCACCGUGUGUGCCGCUUGGGCUCUUAUCUCGAUGUAAUAUCAGACCCGUGUAAUCCGCUAGCAUCAAUAAAGUGGUUGUUUCUAUACCAUGUUGUUGUGUGUUGCUAGAAGACUUGAUCUCUGGGCUGGCAAUGCAAGGUAAACCGGUUGCUCUGAGCCGGGGUGCCACAAUGCUUGGUAUUAGAGCCGCGCUGAUUGUAGGACACGCUAGACCGUUAGUGUGUUAGUGGAACGGUAGAUAGCUUCGCUUGAGUGCCGGUAGUCAUAGAAAUUGGUUGCUGCAUUGCAUGCAUUUUUAUCUGUUUUUAUUACUAACCGUAUGACGGUUGUGAGUGUAGAUGGCUCCAGUUCCGAUCUUGUAUCAUCCUGAGCCAGCUCCGUACACAUCGCCGCGCCUGCUUCAGAACGUGUGGCGACGAAUCUACCCAGAGGGUGCUGAUCCAGAGUAUCAGGUGUAUCGGGAGCAUCUAGCCGGUUCAUUGUAUGAGUAUUAUGCUGAGGUCACUCGACACCACAGUUCCCCUUCCGGCGCUUACACUCGUUCUACUAAGGGUGGUCUCGCUUCUACGCCAUCUCAAGCGGUCCAGUUUGCUGCAAUCGAGGCUCUUGUAGACUUGCGCUACAACGAGGUUCGCAUGCACACCCACCCAGGUUUCUUUUACUACCCAUCUCUGCACGAGAAUGGGCGUAUCCGCUUUCCUUUGAUUAAUCCAGCGUGCGAUCGUCCUACUAGCCACCUUUCCCGUUAUAUCACUGCCAGUUAUCUCUUGAACUACGAGUUAGCUCGGGAGCUAACCCGUGCCCGUAUAGCUCUCGCCGCUGCUCAUAAUAGGAACCCUCUCCCUACUGUCGGUUUCACUCCAUACGCUCCUCCAGUCUCUGCCACCACUCAGAGUACCACUACACCUUUGGCAGUAACCCCUCGCAGUGCUCCUGCCGCGUGGGCUUCCCUUGUCGCUACUCCUGCAGCUCCUAUGCUUAGAUCCCAUCCCGCACCUACCCCUGAGGGAGAGUCCUCGAGGCAGCACCGUCACGUCUUUCUUAACCCAGAGGUCACCACUAUCAGUUCAGGAUCUGGGUCCGGCUCAGGAGAGGAGCCCGCAGUAGCGCCAUCCGAGCAGUAGAUCGCUAGAGUAACACCGUCGUCAUGAGUAUGAUGUAUGGAUGUAGUCGCACUUACUAUGAUGCUUAGUUUCAUGUAUGAGGGUAGUGACCCUGUCAUGAUGUUUAACUCUUAUGUUGAGUCUAUGUAUAAUUAUGUUGGAACUCUCUUUUUAUUCACCUUGGUUUCUUUCGUUGUUUUCUUCUGGGUUUGUCCUCCCAUUUUUGGAUAUUUCUCAUCGUGGUUGCUUUGCGUUGGGAAACUAAAUAAUAGGAUGUCACGGGGAGGCAACAGCAGCCAAGCUUGUGAGGAUGUCCCUGUUCGUCGCUCUGCAAGACAGGCAGGACAUUCCCCCGAGCCGUACCAGCCACCUCCGCCUCCCCCGUCACAUCCGCCUUCUACUGAGCAAAUCAUGCGAAUGUUUGAAGAAACAAGGAACAACGAUCUGAUGGAAUUACUGAAAAGUGUGCAAGUUACGGUUGGGCAGAAUGGACAUCAGAAUAGUCAUUACUCCAAGCUGUCAGAUUUUCAGCGAAUCAAGCCUCCCAGUUUCAGUCAAGUUAUUGAUCCAUUGGACGCUGAUGAUUGGUUAAGGACUAUUGAGAAGAAACUGGAAAUUGCUCGCACUGAAGAAGGAGACAAGGUUCCUUUCACAACACAUUAUCUUGAAGGAGCUGCCGCGAUAUGGUGGGAUAAUGCUAAGGCCAUGUGGCCCGCGGACGAGGAAAUUACUUGGAAUAAAUUCAAGGAUCAUUUCCGCAAGUAUCAUAUUCCCUCAGGAAUUAUGAAAAUCAAGCAGCGCGAAUUCCUCUCUCUCACUCAGGGAAGCAUGUUAGUCAGCGAGUGCCUGAAUAAAUUCAACCAUUUGGCCCGCUAUUCACUCUAUGAUGUGGCCACCGAAGAACGGAAGGUCGACAAAUUUCUUGGGGGACUGAAUCAGCAUCUCACGUGCACUCUCAGCAUGUUGAUUUUUCGGACUUCCAAACUCUGGUGAACAAGGCUCUCACCGCAGAAAGGGAACACAAGCUCAUGCACGACAACAGGCCAGCUAAUAAUGACCACAAGCGCAAAUUUGAGCCUAAGAAGGAUAUGCAACCCAUGCAGAAGGCUCGUACAUGGCAACAGACUCAGGUUGCGUACAAACCCAACUGGCAGCAAAAUGUCAACAAGACCACCACUCAGGUCAAGAAUAUCGUGACCAGCCCAGUACGUGAAGAUUGUCAGCGCAACAAUUCCUAUUUCAGUUGUGGGCAAACCGGACAUUACGCUAGACAGUGCCCCAAGAACGGCAAGCCAACAGCUCCAUUUCGUCCGCAAGUUAACUAUCUGGAGCCAUAUUCCGGCCCGAGUGCCAUCCAAGGGAAAAUCCCUCAUAUCUCCGCCGAUGAAGCCCAAGAGGACCCGGAAGUCGUCAUUGGUAUGUUUCCUGUUAAUAACAUACCUGCCAUAAUUUUAUUUGACUCUGGGGCUUCCCACUCUUUUUUUCGCAAAGUUUUGCUGCCCAAAACAAAUUUCCUUGCUCGAUUUUGGGAAAGCAUAUGCUGGUACAAUCCCCGGGAUCCUUGCUCAGAAGCAAUCUGGUCUGCCGUAAUCUGGAAAUUGAUAUCAAGGGGGUCAAGUUUCCAACGUCUCUGAUAAUCAUCGAUUCUGACAAAUUGGAUAUUAUUCUGGGAAUGAAUUGGUUGACCCAAUACCAAGUAUGCAUCAACUGUGCGACCAGAGAAGUUACCAUGGCAAAUCAGGAGGGUCACACCGCAAGUUUUUAUGCCCACAAAAGCAUACCCAGAAGGAUAUGGUUUUCACCGCCGUGGCUGAAGAGGUGGAAUUGAUUCCAGUGGUCAGUGAGUAUCCCGAUGUAUUUCCUGAGGAAUUACCAGGAAUGCCGCCAGACAGAGAACUGGAGUUUGCAAUUGACUUGGUGCGUGGAACCAGACCGAUACACAAGAAAUAUUAUCGAAUGCCUUCAUCAGAAUUGGUGGAAUUAAAGAAACAGCUAGAUGAGAUGCUACAGAAAGGAUACAUCCGCCCAAGCUCUUCACUGUGGGGAUCACCCGCGAUAUUCAUGGAUAAAAAGGAUGGCAGUCUUCGGAUGUGCGUAGACUACCUACAGUUGUAUGACGUCACCAUCAAAAAUAAGUAUCCACUACCAAGGAUUGAUGAUUUAUUUGAUCAACUCAGUGGGGCCAAAGUAUUCUCCAAAAUUGAUUUGAGGACCGGAUAUCAUCAACUCAAAAUCAAGAAGAAGAUAUUCCCAAGACCGCGUUCACCACUCGGUAUGGUCUCUAUGAGUAUACCGUUAUGUCAUUCGGCCUCACCAACGCCCCAGCCUUCUUCAUGCAUAUGAUGAAUAAGGUGUUUAUGGACUUCUUGGACAAAUUUGUGGUGGUGUUCAUCGACGACAUCCUCAUUUACUCAAAAAGCAAAGACGAACACAAAGACCACCUCCGAGAAGUUUUGCAGAGGCUCCGUGAUCAUCAACUUUAUGCCAAGUUCAGCAAAUGUGAGUUUUGGCUCAAGCAAGUUGGAUUUUUAGGACAUGUUCUCCCGACAAAAGGAAUAGUUGUGGAUCCAAGCAAGGUAAAAGAUGUGCUUGAUUGGUCCGCACCCACGACAGUCUCAGAAAUCCAAAGUUUCCUUGGACUAGCCGGAUAUUAUCGCCAUUUUAUUGAAGGAUUGUCCAAGCUUGCCAAGCCCAUGAUAGAGCUCCUAAAGAAGGAUAAUAAGUUUGAAUGGACUGAGGACUGUGAACGGAGUUUCAUUGAGCUGAAAAUCAGACUGACGUCAGCACCAGUAUUGACUCUUCCCGACAUCUACCGCGGUUUUGAGGUCUACUGUGACACCUCCAGAAAAGGCCUUGGAUGCGUACUUAUGCAAGAUGGCAAGGUUGCGUCUUAUGCAUCCCGACAACUAUGGCCACACGAGGGAAAUUAUCCCACUCAUGAUUUGGAAUUGGCUGUGGUGGUGCACGCUUUGAAGAUUUGGAGACAUUAUCCUAUUGGAAAGAGGUGCCAGAUAUUUACCGACCACAAGAGUCUCAAGUAUAUAUUCACUCAGCCCGAUUUGAACCUUCGUCAGCGAAGAUGGCUCGAGUUUGUUAAGGAUUACGACCUCGGCAUAAAUUAUCACCCGGGCAAAGCUAAUGUGGUUGCCGACGCUCUUAGCCGCAAACCGGCCAACCUGAAUACUCUGAGGGAAACUUUGCCUCCUGAGCUUUACGAAGAAAUCUCUCAGCUUAGUUUGGUAAUCAUGGAUGCCAGUCUUGCCAGUAUAUUGGAAGUUGCUCCUACCCUCGAAGAAGAAAUUCACAACGCUCAAGAAAAUGACAAAUCCUUGCAAUUAUAUGCCAAGCAUAUGCAAGAGGGACAGACACAGGGUUGCUCUAGAGAUCAACAAGGUACGCUAACAAGGAAGGAUUUGCGUACCCAGCCAAGAAGGUCUGAGGAAGAAGAUAUUGGCAGAAGCACAUGAAUCACCGUACUCAAUUCACCCAGGUGGCACUAAAAUGUACGAAGACCUUCGUCAGGUAUUCUGGUGGAAUGGAAUGAAGAACGACAUCGCUUACUUUGUGGCUUCUUGUGAUAUAUGCAACAAGGUAAAGGCGGAACACCAAAAACCCGUCGGACUCCUUCAACCUUUACCAGUAUCACAAUGGAAAUGGGACAAUGUCUGCAUGGAUUUCAUCACCGGUUUACCAAGGACUCACCGAGGAAAUGACGCAAUAUGGGUCAUAGUGGACACCUUAAUGAAGGUGGCACAUUUUCUUCCCAUCUGGACCACCUACCGUGCCGAUCAACUUGCACAAUUGUAUGUGUCCCGAAUCGUCAGUCUGCAUGGAGUACCAAAGACUAUCACUUCGGAUAGACGAUCUCUCUUCACUUCAGCAUUUUGGUCCCGACUACAUCAAGCCUUGGGGACUACUCUGAAAUAUAGCACGGCUGAUCAUCCCCGGACAGAUGGAUAAACUGAGCGAGUAAACCAAAUACUCGAAGAUAUGCUCCGGGCAUGUGCAUUGGCCCAAGGGUCCAAGUGGGAAGACUGUCUACCAUACGUCAAGUUUUCCUCCAACAAGAGUUUCCAGACCAGCUUAAAGAUGUCACCCUUUGAAGCUCUGUAUGGCAGUAAGUGCCGCACUCCACUGAACUGGUCUCAAACCGGAGACAGCCGUAUUUUCGGGACUGAUUUGAUGAUCGAAGCUGAGAAGCAAGUCAAGGUAAUCCGAGACAGACUGCAGUUGGCCAAAUCUCGACAGAAGAGUUACUAUGAUGCCAAACACCGUCAGAUCAGCUUCGAACCCGGAGAACACGUGUAUCUCCGAGUUACCCCUAUGAAAGGAGUUAAGAGGUUUCAGAUCCGAGGAAAAUUGGCACCCAGAUAGUCAUUGCCAGAUUCGGAACAGUUGCCUAUCAGUUGGAAUUGCCACCCGAACUUUCAGAGGUACACAAUGUGUUUCAUGUCUCAUAGCUAAGGAGAUGUAUCUCGCCACCGGAGAGAAGGAGUGAUAUGGCAGAGAUAGAACUGUCUAAGGAUUUGACGUAUGAGGAAAAGCCAAUCAGUAUAUUGGAUGAGACAGAAAGAGUCACUCGCAGCAUAGUGAUAAGGUUUUACAAGGUUCAGUGGGAACAUCACACCGAGGAAGAGGCAACCUGGGAAACAGAGGAAUUUUUAAGGACUGCCUACCCAGAAUGGUUUUCCCAAGCAACCGAAUCUCGAGGACGAGAUUCAUCCUAAGUGGGGGAGGUUUGUGACAGCCUGGAUUUUGCCUUCUCUCUUUUUCCGGACUUGGUUCUGUUUUUGCCUUGGAUUUGGAUUUUUGGAAUCAAUUCAACUAGACUUAUCACUUGGGCAUGCCCUUGACUUUCACCCAAGUGACCUAUCUACUUCUCAUUCAAUCUUAUUUCUCUAAAAAAUCCCCAAAAUAAUCAAAUGAAUAUUUUUCAUAAAAGAAAAAUGUUCAUUUUCUCUUCUAAAACUUAUUUCAGAAACUAGUGCUCCAAAGCAACCCCCAUUUUUAUUGCUCCCAAAAUUCUGAAAUAAUUCCUGAAUAUUCUUUGAACAAUGGUCCACCUUCCCAAGCAAAAAUAUUGCAUGACUUUUUGUAAUAUUUUUGCUACAGAAAAUAAUUUCUCUUGUGGUCCAAAAUUUCACAUUGUACAGCAAGUGUAUUUUUCCUUGAUCCUUUGGCCCUGAUUUUUCUUGAGCCUCUUCACCCUCCUAAGAAAAACCUUAACCCCAGGAGAUCAGCCCUAAUGGCCAUCUAGAAGCUAUCCAAACGUAGGAGCCAAGUUUCUGUCCAGAAACUUGCCAAGAUGGUUGACUCACAUCUGGUCGACCUGGCGAUGAGUCCUCAGCUUCCCUAGACCUAUCACUGCAUGGACUUUAGCCCAGGCAAGGUUUGGCCGGUCGUGGGCGUCGUUUUGACCAUGCCAGGGUGGUGACCGCGUGUGGACACGGGGUCUGGCAUGUGCUCGAUGCGCUCUGAGUAGCGCCAACGCCUCCGUUCGGCGCGUGCUCGAGCCAGAGCUCGCCGACGACUGUCGCGCCGCGCCUCCAACCUCGACUCAUCACCAUUGACCUCUUCCUGGCGCUCGCCGAUGCCGGAGACGCCGCAGCGAGCACGGGCACGUCGCGGCCAAAAGUCACACUGCGCUCGUGCCCAUGUCUUCUUCUCCCUGCCUCUUGUGCUCGUCCGCGAGCGUGGACAGCCCCCGGCUACACACUGAGCCCUUGCCUCCUCUCACUCGUGCCUUUCGUCGCCAUUCGCCAGUCUCCAGAGAACUCCGGCGGCGCCACGUACCCCCCUCUCGCUCCGGCUAUAUAUAGAGCCAUUCCCUCCACUUCGAAGCUUCACACCGCACCACACAACCACCACAACCUCGUAGAAGAGCCGUAGCCCGGUCGGGCGGGCCUCUGGCCGUCGACCUUGACCAGAGAUCGCCGGCGAUCCCCGUAGCCCAACCACCCUACUCCAAAGACCCUCGAGCUCAAUCAACCUCUCAGGCACGUCCUUAGGGAUCCUCUGGAGUCUCCUGGACGCAACUGAGCCCCUAGAGUCACCUCUCGCUGUCGCCUUCUUCCUCUCCGUCAAAUCCCGUCCGCCACCGCCGCUUGCGAGCUUGAUUGCGAGCAACUCCGGCCAUCCCCCGGCAAGCCACGAGUACGGGCAGGUGCGCCACGACCCCUCUCCACUUCUAUCCCUCUGGUUUUGCCCAAGACCCACUCGUUGCCGGCGUAAGCUCCGGCGGAGUGCCGCCGUGCUCUGUUUCCCUCUCUCCCCCUCUCUCUCCUGACCGGUGGGGCCCGGUGUCAGCCUAUCCCCUCGCACCCGAAGCGGUACGAGUGGAGGCGUAUCCUGGCUUUACGCCAUCGACGUCACCCCCCAGGUUUUCUGAUUUAUUCAAAAUAAUUCAAAUAUUUGACCACAACUUUGACCAGUGAUAACUCCUAGCCCAUAAGUCCAAAUGAGUUGAUUCUUUUUGCAUUAUGUUUGUUUCAGAAAGCUCUAGCAGCACACCAAAAUGUGGAAUUUUCCUUGCUGUCUAGAAUUUCUGGUGAUUUUCAGAAUGGUUUUUGAUAUUUUGUUUUGUGGUUUUUAAAUAUUUUCAGAAGAAGGAACUUGCCUUGAAGAUAACCAGGAGGAGUGUGACCCUCCUCAGCACUAAGGCAAGCCACACCAGCAUUUGGAUGGUGUCAUUUCAAUAUCUAUGAUCUUCCUACUUAAAUAUGAGUUCUUAUAUGCAUUUAAAAAACAUUUGUUAAAUAAAUAUGGUUGGUUGCUAGUUACUUUGUCAUGCUUGAAAUGAUUGUUUAAGUUACUGGUUGAAUGCAUGGACUAGUUUAAUCUAGUAAAAUAAAAAUUUGCCUUAGUUAUAUUGCUUUGAUAAAUAUAUUUUUUGACAGAAAGACUGUAAGGGAACCCCCUACAAUAUAAUUGGUGCAACAAAUCCAAAUUGCAAGUACCAUGCCUUGAACUUGGGUGGGUGGGAAGGCAUCAGCCCCUUCCCACCACUAGGCUAUGCCUUAGUCUGCUGCUUUGAUAAAUAUUGAUAGUUCUUUUUGUUAAGUGCUACUUUCAUAUAAAUUAUGAGUUAAUAAAAAUAUUGCAUGAUAAGGAAAAUGAGGUAGAACCAGUAAAGUUUAAUCAUGAGUAGUGCAAGCAAGUUAUGUUGAUAAGUUUGAUCCGUACAUGGGAGUUGCAUGCUUUGCAUGACGAUUAGUUGCACGAUCAUGGCAUCCUAUGACUUGGUAGAUUAAUUUUUAUUUUUAAGUUAAGCCUGUUAAUAAGUUCAACUUUAAUAUGACAUUGCUCAAGUCAUGGUGCCACUAAAUCGGGUUUUUCUCAGUGCGUCCACAUUUACCUUGUGGGAGGUCUUGAUUCGGUCCUUUGUUGUGCCUCUCGCCGGUGCCCCCAACGAGGGAAGGUUAUGGGCGUGCAUACCCUGGCCCGGUAAGCAGACAUAGCCUUGUGUGCCCGUUUGUUUUUAUGGUACCUUGUCCCUGUUUGGGACCGUUUUGCCACGACGGUGGUCGUUGGUGUCUUUGGUUGACACGGGGCCACCCAGGAGAUAGCCCUGAGAGGGAGUUUGCCGGAGUGGCCGGGAGAGUGUCAUGACAAGGGGAGGGUUUCGUCGGAAUGCCGUUGGUCCACCCGAAUGGGAGUGCGAGGCCUUGGAUUCCGUGGUGUGGGUAAAGUGCGCUACCUCUGCAGAGUGUAUUAAAUCUAUCGAUAGCCGCGUCCUCGGUUAUGGGCACAACUCAGGAGUAAGUCACACCAUGGAUCAACUUUUAUAAUUAAUCUUGCACACUAAAUAACUGUUGAUGGCACUGACAUCGUGAUGAUUUCGGAGAUCAUGAGCUGAUCAUGAGGGAUUGGUUUCAGUUGUGAUCCGGGUACGAUCACCGUUUGGUUACGAGGUAACCCGUCUGGUAAGCGAGUCCGUGGGACUCGGUGCACAUGUUGGUUUCACCGCAUUAGUAGCAUUACUUGCAUUGCAUUAACCUAAUUAAUUGUCAUGAUAUUGUUUGUCAUUUUGCUUAUGUUUGUUGUGAGCUUGCAAGUACAUUCAUUGUAUUGACCUGGCAUGUCAUGCCAGCUUUUUGGCAUGUCGUUUCGCAAUCGGAGAGCUUCCAGCAUCUAGGCGGUGUCCAUGUCGGUGUCCCUGUGCUAUUGAGUUCCACUUCGUCGUUCUUCCGCUGCCGCGUAGUUCGUGUGAUCGAGGCCCUUCAUGUUCAUUAAAUAAUGUACAUAUUGUUCAGCUGUACCGUGUGUGCCGCUUGGCCUCUUAUCUCGAUGUAAUAUCAGUCUCGUGUAAUCCACUAGCAUCAAUAAAGCGGUUGUUUCUGUACAAUGUUGUUGUGUGUUGCCAGAAGACUUGAUCUCUGGGCUGGCAAUGCAAGGUAAACCGGUUGCUCUGAGAUGGGGUGCCACAAUCCGCGACGGUGAAAGCAUGCCUUGCUCGCUUCCUACGCAUGUUCAACAGUUCAAAGGAUGAGUGGGUCGCUGGGCUAGAUGUUGAGUACACCACAGUCCUGGAAAGAGAGAAGAUUCUAAAGGAGGCAGAGAAGAAGAAGCCUCCGUGAUCCAGGUUUGCGUACAUAACGUGUGCUUGGUCUACCACAUAUUCCAUGCCGACGUUGAGUGCCAGGAUUUUAAGAACUUCCUCAAGGACGAAAGAGUGAAAUUCGUUACUGUAGCUUUAGGAACGAUAGGGAUGUCCUGGGUCGGAUAGGCCUCGUUGUAGGCCAGCCCUUCGAUCUCCAGAAGGCUAGCCCGGUGUCCUCCUCUCAGCCUUCAAUGUUGAUCCUGGCAGCAGCCAUGAUUGAUCCUUCGUACGCUAAACUAAAGAAACCUCACCACGAGUUUCAUCAUGCAUGGGAGUCGAAGACAUUAGAUGAAGAUCACAUCCUGUACGCAGCAAUGGAUGCCUACCUUUGUUUAAAUAUCUACAAGGGUUGGAUGAAGAAGCAGAGCCCAGUGUCUAGUUCAAGCAAAGAAGCGUCGGCGAAGAGGAAGAGGAAGAGGGACGAGGACGAAGUCGAGGACGUGGACUCAGACUCGGACUCCGAGUAAGGUGGCAGUGCCGUCGCUCAUGCUGGUUCUACUGCAGUGUCAAGCGGACUAGUUGAUUAGUUUUAUUUCAGGGGUGUGUUGUGCUGAGCCCCCAGCAGAAUUAUGUUUAUGUUCUUUCUCAUUAUUUAAAAUUUAUGUUCUUUCUCAUUAUUUGAACUCUUUAGUACGUACAGUAGUACUAGUAGUAUGUCUUACUACUGUUCUUCUUGCAGUUGGUACUACUGCUCGUAUCUUUGUGUUCCUACUGUACUUAAUACAUUCGUACGAGUAGUAUAAUUUGGGUCAGUUGAUUUGUGAUAGAAGUUCGACGAAGCGAAGGAAGAAGACGGCAGAGAAGCUACCCCAGUAUCUAUAUUAGGGUGGCAGGGUGCCCAUGAUCUAUCUUAUGAGUGUUGGGUGUGGAAUGCAGUUCGACGGAAAAAAUGGAUCAUGCCCGGGGUUAAACGGAUGGCGGGGGUGGGGGGAGCAUGGCGGUGGCAGGCGGUUCAGGGGAGGGUGGGGCGGCGGCGGCAGGCGGUUAGGCAUGUGGCGGGCUGAGAAGAUGAACAGUGCAUCAAUUUCGUAGGUUGAAGAAGCCCUUCUAGCCAUCCAUGUUGCAUCCAACGGCUCACAAGAGUCGACUGACCCAAAUUGCUCCUUCAGAUUACAGGAUCCACGUGGCAUUCAAGGUCUCGAAGGUAGAUUCCGCGUCCGCACCAGGUUUGCGGGCUCGGCGCGGGCGCGACCGGCUUCCGCCGUGACAGCCACCAUGCGCGCCUCCUCCGCGCAGGCGGAGACGACAAUGACACGCUAGUUCCUCCUCACCAGCGUGCUGGAGCACGCGCUCGUCCUCCUCUUCGUACGCUGCAUGCAUAGACGCGGCUCCACCAGCUGCUCGCGUGCUUGGCAGCGCGGUGGCAUCGCGAGGAGGGACUGCAGACGACGUGAGCGGGCAAGCCUUCGGCUUCAUGGCACAGGGAUAGCGGCGACACGGCGGUGAUGGGCGAGAAAUUGUUGGCCAGAGCAGGCGGGCGCUGGCAUGCGCAACAGCGGCGGCGGCAUAUUGAUGAGUGCGCAUAUGGGAGCUUAGUUUAGUUUUAUAUAGGGUAGGUCAAACUUAAAAGAAAACCGUACUAGUACAUGUAAACAUUAGACUGAGGCAGCGCUUAUAUUAGUUACCACAGCCACGAUACGGAAUCCUGUGCAAGCGCGUGAACCGCGGCCGCGCGGUCGAUUGAACGGUGCGUCACCGUGUCGCGCUCGAAGGACAUCCACCGAACCUUUUUGUGUGUGUGAAAACAAUCCCCGAAUAUUACUCAACUUUUUUUCCUGGAAAAGUUCUUGGCGCUGCAAUAUUUCCAUAUAUUUGAAUUUAGCUCCAGUUCGUGUUUAUUUGGAUUUGGACGUUUUAGGUGCGCCCUAGUUUUUUUUAAUACUGAUUUUGUGUGUGUGACUGAGAGAGAACGUGUGUAUGUGUCCAUAUGUUUGUUGUGGCGGAAGGGCAAUGUGGAGACGGUGUGCGUGUGAUAGACAUAGAGAGGUCUGAAUGUGCAAAUGAUCAUGCAUGAGUGAGACAUAGACAGAUGCCGAUACGUUGUGUAUACAUGAGAUAACGGUCUUCUAUUUUACUUGUGUGUGUGUGAGAGAGAGAGAAGGGGGGAGCAUCCGUAACACAACAACCAUCUCUCUCGAUUCGUCCGUCCCUCGCACGAUCGCAUGUAACACAUGCAUCAACGCACACAUUUUGACACCCUCACCCGGCCCCUGCCCACCUCAAGGCCCGCACAUCGCUCUCUGUCUCGCACGCACAAUCUCUUCAUGAAAACCCUAUUUAGCAUGUAGCUUUCCGUCACAUACACACACAUUUCUCUCCAUAGGUUUGAUUUCUCUCAAUAUCUGACACAUACACACACACAGACACACACCGCACGCACACACCCCCUCCCCCGAGCACACUGUUCAUCCCCAUCCAAGGUUAUAUGGCGACCACUCUCGCUUGUGCUUCUCUGCACCCCAGCAUGCACAACACCUCAAUCUUCAAAGAGGGCAUCGAGGAGAUCGAAGACGGCGACCACGCUGCACUAGAGAAUGCGGGGCCAUUUGGAAGCAGGAUGAUGUGACGAUGGCUGACUAACUCCUCCCCCCUCUCCCCCGCACAAAAUUACCAAUCCCUCUCUCCCCCGCACAAAAUGAUCAAUCCUUCAACCCACGAGAUCCUUCCCCUCUCUUCCAUGUUUUUCCAGCUCUCUCAUCAAACAUGUUGUCUCUUCUCCUUCCACGUGUACAGAAUCCCGAUGCACACGCAUCUCACGUAUAUUACAUGUCUCCAUCUUUCUCACUGACCUGACUUCUUCCUCUCUCUUCCUCUCUCUCUGUCUCGUUAGGUUUGUCUCCUACUCUCUCGUCCACAUACAUACACUCUUUCCCGCCCUAUCUGCUCCAUCUUCACAAGCUCUCUCUACACGUUUCAUUCCCACAUUGGGAUGUGUUUAAAAUGUUGCUUUUAUAAUGAAUGAUGUAGAGUUAUGGUUGGUUUUGUUGCAUCCUACAAAGUAAUAACUAUGAAAUGCAUUUAGAUUCUCAUUUGACUGGGAUUAUGUGAGUUUGAGCAUAUUGUGAAGUACUAUAGACCCCGUAUACAUCUUGGAGUUCAACAAUGAUUGCAACUAUUGAAUUGUAUAGACCAUUACAUUCAAAGUCAGUAGCCUAAUAUAUUUAUUUCACAAUUACAACAAAUGAUUAAUUUAGUACAAACUAAGAAAACAAAUGUGUACUCCCUCUGUUUUUAUUUAAGUCCACGUAUUAGCAUUGGUCAAAAUCAAGUUUUGUAAACUCUCAGAAGUUUAUAACAAAAAAUAUUAACAUAUACAAUACAGUAACAAAUAAAUACCAUUAGAUUCAUUAUUGAAUGUACUUUCACAUCAUACAUAUUUGUUAUGGUAAAUGUUUAUAUUUUUCUAUAAACUUGGUCAAACUUUAGAAAGUUUGACUUCAGUCAAACCUAAUAUGCAAAGUUAAUAAAAACGGAGGGAGUACUAGUAGUUACUAGUACUACUCGCUAGUUGCUUAGCCCAAUCACCCAGCACGCCACACGGGGAGUUCAGUGUCACAAAAUUUUGAGGUCGGCGGGAAAAUCUCCCGCGACCCUGAUUCGAGUACUACGAAGUUACCAUCAUAGCCUUCGGAACAGGCCUACGGAUGACGCUUGGUAGGGGGCUGUUUUUGUAACUUCGGGUUCACCCUACCCAGCCAACCACACCCCGGCACCCAGAGUAGUACACCUGAAUACUCCCCAUUUUCUAUACCCACCGCAAAAUAGACUUCUCCACGGCACCGCAACCUUCGUGCUCCUCCCCUUCUACAUCAGCGCACUCGUCCACCGCAGCGCAUCUGCCUCAUCGAUGACCUCGUACGCCGCACUGGAGCCGGUCCACCGUCGUCGUCGUACACGAAGCCUCUUCCCCGGCACCGUCUUCCACGGUCUCAGAUCUGCUUCCCGGAAGCCGACGCCAAGCGCAGAAGCACAACUGUCAUGGAAAAUGAACUGACUCCUGUUGCUGACCAUGAUGCACUGAGGCCGCCGCGACCAUCGUUCUCCUCCUCAAUUGGUAAUGUGUGUAUUGAAUCACUUAGCAGUACCUGUGCAGUUCCAAUUUUGUUCAUACACACCUUUCAAAUUUCCUGGUUGUUAUUGUUCCCGUAAAAGUAAUUGGUUAUAACCUCCAUUGUCCAACAGAAUAUCAACUUGUAAUUGUGCGUCGCUCCUGUAUCGCGCUGUGCUUGGGUAGGUUCUUCAUCUGCAACCAGUAGUGUGGCAAAUGAUAAAAAGUUUUUUAGAACUAGCAAGAUGCCCAUGCGCUGCACGCAUCAAGAUGCAUUUGUAUGAGUAGUUUAUCUUGUGGGAGAAAUAGAUGAACGAGGGAAGGCCUUAUUUGCAAAUCUGGAAAGGGAUGUGGGUAUCUUAUGCAAAAUUGCCAUAGUUUCCUUCCUAUCGGUUGGAUAUAAAUCGGACAGCCUAUAUUGCAGGAUGGCAGGCACACCAUCAUCACCAACUUUGUUUUUUUUAGAAAAAAAGAGUCGAGAGUAGAGAAGUAAAUAUUAAAUAUAAAAUAAAUAUAACAGUAGAGAAGAGAGUAGAGAUAGCAGGGACGAGAAAAUAUCUAGUGCUACCAUCCAUGGGAUGAUACGCUGCUCCAGGGAUGGAUGGUAUGUCAGAUUUGAAAUAAAGGGGCAGGAUCAAGUCACUGAUGCAUUUACACAUGGCCCCUUGGAACAUUUGCACCUUGCCCCUAGAAAGUAACAUGUCUUUGCAAAAUUGCCUUAGACAGUUCCGUUGGUUGUUUCUCCUGGACCAAAGCACAGUACGCCAAUCUCCAUCUGAGCUUGCACUUUUAAAUCCAGAAAAGAAUUAGGUCAAGAAACUGAAACUUUCAUAGAUAAUUACUCCCUCCGUCCCAUAAUGUAAGAUGUUUUUUGACACUAGUUAGCACGAGUACUAGGGCGAGAACAUACUAGAUCCAGCUGAAUUACAUGGCCACCAAGGCUAGUUACAGAUUCAGCUACUACAAGAUGCACUACACUCUGAGCACAAUUACAGAAUUAGAACCAAAGCUGACCAUGACAAUGCCCAGUACUAGAACGAACCAUUAAGUUGGUCGUGGCUUAUCAGCAGACUAACAACUAACUGAACUUGAGAGCUGCGAGCCAUGCAGUUUGCAGCAUGUACGCUCCCAUUGGUCAGCGCAAAUGCACACCUACAUGAUAAAAGCAAGAAUUAGGACCUAAAAAGCCUUUUGAAAACAACCCAAUCUUCUUCACCCUAAACCAUUUAAAAUAAUUGAACCAAUUCAUUUGUGUACUUAUAUCGAGAGGUCUGGUCCAAAGGAUGGGUACACACACAUGAGUAACCUGGUUUUAAGAACUCAGCACACCAACCCUGUUUUAGGGAAUCGGUACUAACCAUGUUCCCGUUACAUAGAAAAUGACAGAAUUAACCGUAAGUUCUUAUCAACAAACAACCAAACUUCUACAGGUUUUCUGUAAAUGAGAGGCAUAUAAGAAGAGUAACAAACCUUAGGUGAUUCAGUUCAAGUUAGCACAAUGUAAGCUUUCCAUUCCUGUGACACAACCGGUACAACAGAAAGUUAGAUGCCACUAGACCAGCAACCCACAAGCCAUACAAAAACAUGUACUCCACCAUCCCUGUGUAUAAAAAAACAAAAAGGAAGAAAUCACUAACAGAACAAAGAAUACUGACAGAAUCUACAUCAUACCACAUGUUUCAUAUGAAAUUUAAAUAGUUAUAUGGUGUCAGCUACAUUCUAUCAACUUCAAACUGCAAACUAAGUUUGAACUAGAUCCCAGUACUUGGAACAAACUCUAGCCUCAACUUGUGUUUGGAACAUCUCCAUAGACACAUGAUCUCAAGAAGAACACAAUGUUAGUUCUAUUACCACCGUACAACAUUAAAUAUGAGAAAUCUGCAAACACUUUUGGCAUGCCAAAUAACCUGCAUAUAUGUCGCAUCAUCUAAUUCUCCUGGUCGAUUUUACUGUUUCUUGACCUAUAAGAACAUGUAAAAGGAAAUAAUUUGUUGAACUACAAAACCAUGACAUGCUCACAACUAAGUGAGUUAUCUUCACCUCCUUUUCCUUUUCCCCCUCGUUGUCAGCUGUUUCUUGAACUAUUUCUACAUAGCUAACUAAGAAAGUAGCAGUCGAUAACUGCACAUGUAUUGAGUUCAGUGUACCAGGUACGAAAUUGUUGUUACUCACCCUCCAUGCCAUUGUUUCCUUUUUAGGAAUAUAAACAGUCCUAACUUCUUAUUUUACCCAUAAUAUUUGUUAAAAGUCAAAGAAGACACUAUAUUUUAUACUUGAGAAACACAGUCAUCCUGAAAAGGCAGGAAAAUAUUUAUAUAAGCCAGAUCAAACAUAUUACAUUGUCACAUGUUCCCAUACUUCUCCAAAUCCAAAAACUGAUGUGAGACAAGCAAUGCAUAGUUGUAGUUGUCCCCAAAGAUUUUUGGUCUGGUAGUAUGCGCCAUAAACCUCAUGAGAACAUAAAUGGCCAGUAAGUCAGUUUAUUACACCGUGAAAAACUAUUGAUCCGUCAAAAUUUUCUAGUUCCAGCUGCGGCGAUGUGAGAACAAGCACAUAGAUUUCCAGUACUCAGUGGUCUCAGUUUGACUGAGAGUUCAACCGGGAUUUCUGUUAGUCAAGCCUUGUUGAGCCUCAUUUGGCACGAAUUUUGUCAAUUACUCAAUCUAUAGACAUGACUCAGUAUAAGUCUAAAUGCCCACUUACGCUAGGCUGUACGUGUGGUUCUCAACUAACUGUAUGUAAGAAACAUUCUAGAAAACUUUAUAAGAAAGAUUAUGUGUAUUUACAUAGACAUGUUAUUGUUAGGAGAGGAAGUGUCAGUCGACAUUACAACACUGAUAGACAUUCUUCUAGUUCUUCAAAGAUUAAAAUACUUAUACAUAUCUCUGCUCUGAACUACCUUUACCAUCUAUUAGACUGAAUUGCUAGAUAAAUUUUUAUACUAAGGGCUACAUUGUGGGCAGCAAUUGACAAGCCAAUCUUUUAUUCUAAAAACAAGAUGUCUCGACGGACACUGAGAUUAAAGCAUGAACUAACCAUAUGAGCUCGGCUCCUCCCAUAUGUGUUGCACUUCCGACGAACGAGCCAUGGGCAAGAAUGGCGUACAACUCUAGAUUGGUCCAGAACUGCUAAUGCACGCAACAUCGCAGUUGGAGGUGGCAGAUCCUGCUGCAGCCGGCAGAAAAAUUGACCUGUACGGCUAUUGGACAUGCGCCAUGGUAGCCGUCGGUGCCAGCAGACAUGUGCCAUGGUAUACCACUGGACUGGCUCGGAUAGGAACCCCUCGAACGACACCGACUCCCGCAGCGCCGAUAUCCAGUCCUAAAACCAAUGAAUCAAAUCAGAAAUACAAACACCAAAAAAAAGGCCAAGAUACUGAAUAGUCUUCGGCUCGCGCGACUUGUUAGGCUUCAGCGGCGCGGGGAGGGGGGGUAAGGAGACUAACAGUGGAGGGGGCACGCACCAUGGUAGCCGGCGGCGGUAGGACAUGACCUAGGCGGCGGCGGUGGCGAAACAGGCCGUAUCGAGAAGAAAGGCCGAACAGAACAGAGCAAUAUCCACUUAGUCGCCGAAUUACAAAAUAGUCGAGGUGCCUCGUGCGUAAUUUCCAACGCGAACUGAGCUACUCAAUCAUGUGCCUCCAAUCCAGAUCCAACGGUCCACAUGAUCCUG
rnacentral:lncRNA from 1 species